rnacentral:lncRNA from 1 species
AACGUCUAAUAUAAGCUCAGAAAAGAAACGACAAAACAAGUAGCUAGCAGCACUUGGAAUUUCGUUUUUGCAUUCGAAGAAGGUUGAAUUCAACCUUCAAAGAAAUACAAGGACUCCCUCCCCUAUGAUCUUUGGAAGUGAGAAGCUUUUUUAAAGGAAAGCACCCAAAGUUUUGUUUAACCUUCUUAAUCCCAAGUAUGUAGCUUUCAUAAUAUAAUAAAUAGACCAACUAAUGUCAUUAAUAAGCAACAGUCAAGCGCUCGUUUCAUCAAUGCAUUAAGAGAUUUGAUAGCCACCAGAAUAAGUUAGAAUAAGUAUAUGUAAAUGACAAUGCAAUUAUAGGGAAGCCCAGAGAAGAGAAGUGGGCUUCCACCAAUUGCCUCAUACUCAGAUCGAAUCUUCUGCUUCAUAGCAUCAGAUAGCUCUCUCUGCAAUUCAAAUAGGCACACUAUUGAAUUUUUUAUUCCCUUUCUUCUUCAUUUAAGACUUCCAAAUUUUACAAGGAUAUCACAUGAUUUGAAAAUACUUCUUCCUGUUUUACUAAAAGAAGAUACUGGGACAAGAAAACAUGACACUUGUUUUUAAUCCUGCACCAAACCAGAAAAAUUGAAACAAUGAACAAUACGCACAUAUAUAUGAAAUUUUCUUGUGUUAGUCUUUCACGAGAUGCCUAACAAAUUUCUACAACUGUCAGCUAAACGAAUAGUAAGAUAUGAGUAUAAACGGUGCAAGAAAAGAACCUUUCCAGUUGAGUACUUUGCUGCUUCAAACUUCUCUGCUUGUGGCUUUGGAGAAGGAUCUAAUACUAUGCCCUGACAAACACAUACCAAGGGGAACUUUUACUGGGUAACUUGGUCAAGAACUCAUUAUAUGGACCCACGUAUGUGCAGGAAAUGAAGAGAAAUGCUCAGGAAGCUUUAUAUAAACAAGAACAAAAUCUCCAGGUGUGGGUCACAUAAGCAAGUCCAUGAUAUAUAAUUUAAAUAAAUGUAAGGGUAACUUAAAAUCAACAAACCUCUGGAGGAUCAAAUUUUGCACCAAGGUUGCUUAGCUUGGCAUGGGCUUCAGCAUAAUCGUUGAAGAAUGCUACCUGAUCCUCAGCGUACUUCUCAGCAUAAACCUGCAAGUUAGACAGAAGUUUAAUUUUAUGUGCAUUUGUAAAAUAGCCAUGGAAAAUAAAACUCCAGUUACUUACCUUGAAGGAUGGAUCCUCAAAAAGAACAGCAUCUGUUGGCAAUACCAAUAAAUCUUCAUCCUUUUUUUCCUUGAUGUCCUGCUUACAAAAGGGAAUAAGGAAAUCAUAACCCCUGUAUACUCCCCUACGCUAUCAAUGUCCAUUACUUUUUUAAACAUUUUUUUUUUUUGAAAAAAGGUGAUAAUAGAAGUAGUGGUAAAGACCUUGAAGUAUGAGUUAUCAAACUUCAACCAUUGUACUGUCCAGGAUUGUCCUCCAGGUGCUCCUGGUCCAUCUUUCUGUAGAUCGAAAGAAAAUUACAAUUAUAAAAUAUUCUGAUAAGGAAUAGGCAAAAGGGCAUAUAAUAUGCAGUGUAUAGAGAAGAUUAACAUAAAACAUAACAUGCCCGAAGAAGAACGGACUUUUAGUGCUUGCUGGUAAUGCAAAAUAUCAAAUAUCAUAUUUAGAAUUAGAAUACGACUUAGAAGAAUUGAAAUAAAUUUACUAGUACAAAAUCAUCAAACAAGUAGGGGGAGAAAGGGAAGAUAAUAUACUGUAUAUUUAGUCUCAGGCUUGCCCCAGCCACUUCGUUCAGGUCUGGACCUUCCCAGUGUGUGCGCACCAGAUAAUGCAACAAUUUCCUGCAGGUUCAGUAACUUGAUCAAAAUCACGUAUAAUAUUUCCAGGAUCCAACUUAAAACCUUGAUCCUUGUUGGAAACAACGGAAAUCACCUUGUCAUUCAAACCCAUUCUGUAGAAAACUUGACGCAAAUGAUCAGCCGGUGAGGGAGGACCAGCAUCUGAGUACAGCAAUGUUUGUCAGUUAGCUAUAUCAACACAAUUUUAAAGUGUAUAUAUUAACUAUAUUCUAAAAAUGCAUGAUUUAAAAUUUUAAUAGUUGUAGACUUGUGUCUCACCCGAUUACCAUAACUAAAUUUCCAGUCGAACAUGAAUCAAGUCCUAUAACUGCAAUCCAUGCAAGUCUGAAAAACCAAAUUGUUUGUCUGUUUUCGUUUUAUUUUUGUUUGGGUUCAAAUUUUCUUGAUAAUUUUUGUUUUUGGCUAGAAUGAAUUGGGCUAAUUGAAGUUUUGAAGAUAAAAUGAAGAUUGAACCAGACAAAUUUAUUUACUUCUUAAGCCAUCAUAGAUAUUCAUCAUUGUUUAUAAAAGCGUAAUAUAAAUAAUUUAAGGUAUUAAGCUUUUCAGUUUCCAUUUGGAAGUGCUUGGCAAAGUGGCAAACUUGCAAAUUGGUUCAAAAUUGAUAAAUUAAAACUAGUAAUGUAAAUCAAUUUAGUUACUCUAUAAUGCUGAUAGCUUAGUCAUUAGCCAGUCCAAGUCUACAAACAAUAGAGAAGGUGCAGUACAGGUGAAAAAAUUACGCUUCGAUCUAAUUCUUAGGUUCAAUAAGAAGAAUAAACAUAUUUUAACUUUUCAAGAACAGCAAUAAAAGACUAAAGCUCUUUACUAUGAUUAAUUUAUUCCAAUGCCUUGACUUCUAUGAUUUCCAAUGGAAUCCUAAUUAACGUGGCUAGAUACAUUAGGUCACAUGCUUUUUUCUUAGCACACUGGAUAUAUGGCCUACUAACCUGGAAGUCUGCCUUCUUCAGGACAUUGUUCAGGUGAUGAGACAUCCACUCUUCCAUAUUUCAUAGGGAUUUUUGGGCCUCCAGCUUCCUGACAAUUUCAAGAAAGUAAUCAAUAUAUCUUUUAAUUAAGUUAUGUAGCCAAAAGUUAGUCCUGAAGCAGAGCAAGGAGUCAGGUAACCUCAACAGCAGUAGCACCAGCCAACUGAAAUAAGUCUGCAUACGUCACACGAGCGUAUUUGUCUUUGAUUGGCUGAAGAAGCUUCAAUGCAUUCACAAGUCCUGGAAUGGCAACUCAUCAGGGGAAACAAUAAGCAAAAUUCAAACAAUCGCGACGUUUAGUAUAUCAUUACCAGCAUUGGCUGCAUGUUUCAGCUCAACUUCAAAUUUUAAACUACCAUUAGCACCACCUCUCUGUGGCCAUUCCUCAAUAUUCUUAUUGUAGGUACCAGCAUCAUGCCAUCCCAAGCGAAUCUAUCACGUAAAAUUCUAUGUGAACUGUAGAUACUUAAGAACGUAACAUAAAAUUGUACAAAAAAAUUAUAUAUAUAUAUUUUGGUGACUUGUGAUUUUUUGGUGACUAAAAUUAUAUUUAUAUUUAUUUGUUUUAGAAGAAAAAUAAUUGAAUGGAAAAUUACAAAGAAUGAGAAUGAUAAGGAAUCUCCUACACAACCACGUGUGCAGGCACAUGCAAGGUCAUUAGAGAAGCUUUUAGAUCCUUGAAAUGUCACUGAAGAAACCCCAAAAGAGAGGUCAUGAACUUUGCACAAAUUAAACAGUAACCAAUAAGUAUUAUCCCAGAGUAAGUAACCAUACUGUAGCCAAGGUUGAACAUUUCCAUAGAAAUUUUACUUCUCCCAUAGCAAUGGGACCUAACCCUCAAAAAGUGGUAAAGAGAACUAGGACACACCCCACUGAAAAUGCCAAAUAGCUACAUAAAUUAAAUUCUGUAACAAAGAUCCAAGUCUAUGGGGCAGGUCUAUAUCAUCCAAAAUCCAAUGUAGUAUAUAUGCAUAAGAGUUUGACAUCUUGCUUUAGUCAUUUUGGCAACUGUUAAAUUUUACUCACCACCCUUGGAAGUCAGGUUCAUAAGUAAGAAUUCACAUGUAAUCAGUAGCCUCAUUCCAAUCAUCUUAUUAGUUGAAUGGUUAAUCUAUCUAUCUCUGGUGGUCAAUGUGAUGUGAAGACCAAAGAGUAUUACACAACAUCAUAACAUCAUGACCAAUUAGCUGAUCCUUUAAAACCAGAGAUAAAUUCUGCAUAAAGUGCUGUGUGGACCUUUCCAGCAUUCUUUGUAGAUAUUGGACCACUGGAAUACUAGUCAGUGUAUCAGAAAGAAUUAUCCAUCCAGCAGACAAAUAAUAGAGAAAAACUAGGACAUGGCCAGCUUAUCAAAGGCAUAAGGCAUCAAUCACAAGGUACAAGGUCCAUCUCCAUAUUACAUGUGAGUGUUCAUUAUGCUCCAUGACAACAAAACUUAUAAUCGUUAAUUUUAAUCAAAUUCAAUUUGAAAAAGAAAUUCAAAUAAAAGAGAAAUUAAUCCAAACGAUAAUGCAAGUCUCCCCGCAAAAGUGAAUUAGAUCAUGGAUUCAGCGUAAACUAGUCAUGGAACUUAAUCAUGUAACUUAUUCGAACCCCUCUAACAACGCUUAUAGUCAACUAGUCAUGGAACUUGAUUAUGCAACUUAUUUCGAACACGAACAACAUCGCCGCCUAUACACUACUUCCCAAAGCGUUCGGGAAAAGAAAACAAAUAAUAAAAACAUAAAAAAAAUGAGUGAACACUUGGAAUCCGAGUUCAAACGCUCUAGUCUCUACUAACGAAAAGAACAAUAGGUGCAAAAAUUCUAGAGUAUUUGGAGACCUAACUGAAGCUCGUGACUUCGUGAUAGUGAACUCGUACAGUGAGAUCUCAAGAAAUGAAGGUUUACCAGAAUCGGAUGGCAGAACUUUGUCCUGAGAAGCUCCUUGAUAUCUUCUCGAGCACUCUUCAGCUGGUCAGGAUCAGACGCCAACGACUUUGGAGAAGAAACCGUUGCAUAGCCUCCACUCGAAACACGAACCUCAGCUCUUCGCUGAAAACACAAAAAGAAAAGCACAAGCAAGUGAACACAUGAAUCGAUCGCGAGCUCAAGUUUAAGAGUUAACAGCUCAAAAUGGAGGAGACAAUACCUGAUUGACGAAGAGGUGAGAGAAACGAGAAGAGGAGUGAAGGUGGAGGCAUUUGAGCGAGGAACGAGAAGUUGAAGAGGAGGAGAAGAAGGAGCGGUAAGAUGAAGAGGAGAGUGCGGUGGCGGAGGGAAUAAUGCGUGAGGCAGCGAUGGCGGCUGUGGCGGUGGAGGCCAUUCUGGUUGUUGGAGACGGUUGGGAUGGUAAAGUGAGCGAAGGAUGAGUGAGGAACACACGCUCUGCCAUGUGUUUGGGUACUGUUUGGGUUUAUAACACUUUUUAUUCCCUCCUUGCGUUUCGGAUGAUGAAUUGAUUAUGUUCUCUGCCAAAAGCGCGAUGCCACGCACACCUACUCACUGCAACGCUCUCGAUUUUUCCUUGUGUUUGGUUAGUAGCGCACCUUAUGCUUAAUCAGUAUUAUUAAUACUCCUAGUCACCACUAUUCGUCUAUUCCGUAUUAGGGUUUAAAUGUUAUGUUAUGAUGGAAUAUUUUUUUAACGUAUUAUUUGACUUUUAUAAAACACAAUAUAUUUAUUUUAAGCUCAUGCAAAUUAUAAGAAUUUGAUUUAAAUAUUUUAAAAUAAUAAUUUGAAUUUGUUAAACCAAAAUUAUCACAAUUUUUUUAGAUUAAGAUUUAAUAUUUAUACAAUUACAUAUUAUUAAAGAAUUUAUAUGCAUGCAAUACCGUUGGAAUUUUCUGGAAAUGCCGUGUAAAUCCAUCCCAUUCAUACUUGUUGAAGCAAAUUGUGUCCCAAGGGCCAAGGCACAUAAGAGGAGAGACGAGAGAGCAGUGAGAAAGGGUGGAUACUUAUUAUAAAAUAAUUUGUUAUUAUGUAAUAAAUAAAACAAUAAAUUAUGAAUUAUAAUUUUUUUGUGAAAAAAUAUAUGAAAAUUUAACCUGAACUACACAUAAAAAUUACAAAUUUAAAUGCUAUCGUCUUUUUUUUUUUCACUUUAUUUAGCAGUGAGAAAGGAAUCUUGUCAAGGCCACAUGCCCCCAUUUUAAAAUGUAAAGGAAGUUGAAAAAUGAAAAUAGGAUAAAUUAUUUUAAGAAAAUCCAAGGACUUUGUUAAAACGUCAAACUUUGAAGUAUUGUCUUCUUCUCUUUUGAAUUUUGACCAACGGCUGCCAUCCAUGGAAAAUUGAAAAUGCAUCACUAGGGUAGGGUUUGGAGUCAACCCUAAUCCUACCCGCAGGUUGAGAUUUUUAUAUAAAUUCAAUCCUAUCCUACCCGCGGAUUGAGAAUAUCUCAACCCUAACCCUACCCGCUCUUAAUCCGCGGGUACCCGACCCUACCCGCGGGUUACAAAAAAAAUGCAACGUUAUUAUAUAAUUUGAUGAUAAUUUAAAAUAGGACUGACAUUUAUGUAAAAAAAGUUUAUUAAAUUAUCAAUUAAUGAUCUUCUUUUAAUGACUAAGGAUCUUUUGUAUUUAGUGGGAAGUCUUUAGUUCAAUAUCCACUUAAAAUAUAUUUUUAUAUAAGUAUAUAACAUAUACAUAUAUAGGGUGCGGGUUGGUCGGGUAGGGUUGAGGCUCAACCCGCACCCUACCCGACCCGCACGAAAACCCUACCCGCACCCUACCCUACCCACUGCGGAUCGGGUUGGCAACUCUACCCGACCGGGUGGGGUCUGAUUGGAUACCCGCGGGUAGGGUACAUAUUGCCACCCCUAACGGCCAUCGAAUGAUUUUUUGUUUUCUAGUUACUACACGACUUUUUGGGACUUAUCAAACGAUUGUUUUGAUUAAUUAAUACACCAUUUUUUGUGUCUGCAUAUUUUUUGUUUUGGUAAAGUUUGGGAUUGGAUAUAACAAAUAUGAUUUUUCAAUACAAAAACCAUAUUCAAACAAAAAUUAUACCUCAAGUCCAAAAAUAUAAAAACAAAAAUUAUACCUCAAAAAAUUGCAUCAGAGGAAAAGGAGAAUCAUAUUUUGGGAGGGAUUUCUAAACCUUUGAAGGUUUCUUUCAGGGACAAAAUUGUGGGUUCCAAGAUUGCUAAAGCUUUUUCACUUGUUGAAAUUUUAUCGGGAGAUAACAUUGCGGUAGUUUCUGGGAAGCAAGGAGAUCCUUUGCCACCGAGUGUCACGUUUACCCAAGAAACUAAGAAUUGCUUGGCAGAACCUUAUAAGGAUGCUAUAGUGAUUAAGGUGCUAUGUAAACAUUAUAGCUACACUGCAUUGUCUCAUAAACUCCGAACGGUAUGGAGGAUUAAGGGAGGUUUUGAUUUAUUGGACGUGGGAUUUGACUACUUUCUUGUGAAGUUUGAUGUAGCUGAGGAGCGAGAAAAGGUUCUCUUAGGAGGUCCGUGGAUGAUCGAGGGACAUUAUGUGGCUGUGAAGCCUUGGGAUCAAGAGUUUAGAUCAAGUGAAAACUGUUUUGGAGCAACUUUAGUGUGGAUUAGAAUUUCCGAAUUACCAAUUUGGUGCUACCAAGAAGAUGCAAUGCUCCGUGUUGCGGCUGCAGUUGGCAUUCCCGUUAAGGUUGAUUUGGCAACAAAAUUAGCUGAAAGAGGACGAUAUGCUCGAGCAUGUGUUCAGAUAGAUUUAGGAUUGCCAGUGACUAAGAAGAUUCUUGUUGAAGGUGUUGAAUAUGAGGUUGAAUAUGAAAGUCUUCACCUUAUUUGUGGCUCCUGUCUCAAGUUUGGUCAUGAUAUGAAGGUGUGCAAGACUGACAGCAAUGCAGGAGGAGGAACUAAUGCCAAGGUGAUCAGCGAUGUAGCAAAGCAGCCAGAAAGUUCAAAUUCAAAAAAUCUAGUACAUGUGGAAAAGGCAAGUUUUCAUUUUGGCAAGAAUCUUGGAGAUGAGACUGUAAAUGUUACUGUCCCGGAUUUGGUGGAGAGUGAUUUGCAUGCUGUUCAUGUAGACCAUGCACAAAUCAUGUUGAGUCUCAGGUUUGAUAUUGGAGCUCUCUUUUUGCUGUUUUUAUGGAUAGUUUCAAUAUCAUAGCCUGGAAUGUGAGGGGUGCGUCUAACAAGAUGGCCCGUGUGCAUUGCAAAAAUUUGGUGAGAAUAUAUAAACCAUCUUUCUUCUUUCUCUUUGAGACUCAUACCAUGUUUAAUAAUUUGAAAAAUUUUUGGGAUAAGUUGGGUUUUUAUUGUGUUGGUAUUGAGGAAGCAGUAGGACACAGGGGUGGCAUUUGGUUUCUAUCUUCUAUUGCUAAUGCUUCUUGUGUGGUUAUUGAUCAAAUUGACCAAUGUAUCACAGUGAAAGUGAGUGUGGGUAACUUAGUUUGGCUUUGUAGUGCAGUAUAUGGGAGUCCUCAAUUCGAAAAAAGAUGUAUGCUUUGGGAUCAUUUGCGUUCUAUUAAUUCAGGCCAUAAUAGACCAUGGAUGGCCGUUGGUGAUUUUAAUGAGAUUGUGGCACCAGAUGAGAGUACAGGUGCUUAUUUUUCUUCUCACAGAGCUAGUCUAUUAGCUACUACUCUAGAUGACUGUGAGCUCUUUGAUCUUAAAGUGACUGGUAGGAGAUAUACUUGGUAUAGAGCAGUUCAGGCUGGCAGAGACUUGGCUAAAAGGUUGGAUAGAGCUAUAGUUAAUGAGGCAUGGAUGACAAUGUUUCCUGAGGGUUAUUCUGAAAUUCUUAGCAGGCUUCAUUCUGAUCAUUGUCCUAUUUUAGUUCAUUGUCAUGGUAGCCCCAGAGUGAAAGGUUCACGUUCUUUUAGGUUCCAAGCUGCGUGGGCAACACAUCCUUCUUAUAAACAUGUUAUUAGUAAGGCUUGGAAUCAAGAGUUUGGAGGCGUUACCGAAAGGCUUAAGAUGGUUCAACAGGCUUCUUUGGACUUCAACUCAAAGAUUUUUGAAAAUAUUUUUGUGCGAAAAAAGAAGCUGGAAUAUCAGCUUGAUCAGAUUCAACGGCGUUUGGAGGUUACCGAUGUGUUAUCUCUGAGAAUUAAAGAAGCUGAACUGAGGGAAGAUUACAAUAGACUUUUGUUGCAAGAGGAACUUUUUUGGUACCAGAAAUCUAGAGAGCAGUGGGUCAAGUAUGGGGAUAGAAACACUAAAUUCUUUCAUCUUCAGACUUUGGUGCAUAGAAACCAUAAUAGAGUACAUGGAUUAUAUGUUAGAGAUGGAUCUUGGUCUACUGAUCCAGAUAUUCUUCAGGAAGAAGCCCUCUCUUUUUACAAGAAUCUCUUUGGUACAACGGAAGAGGUUGAGGUUGAUUGUUUAGAGGAUGUUCCGAUGCCCACUCUAAGCACUGAGGUUUGUGCUAGGUUAAUUGACCCUGUCUCUUUUGCGGAAGUCAAGUCAGCAGUAUUCAGUAUGAGCCCUUUUAAGGCUCCUGGUCCAGAUGGCUUUCAAGCUUAUUUUUUUAAAGAAUAUUGGGAGAUAGUAGGCACUGAGAUUUGGAAUAUUGUCCGGAGCGCUUUUUUGGGAGAGUUCUUAAAUCCUAGCAUCAUGGAAACUCUGAUUGUGCUUAUUCCUAAAAUUGAUAACCCUACCUUUAUGAGGGAUUUCAGGCCUAUUAGCUUGUGUAAUGUUAUUUAUAAAAUUAUCACCAAAGUAUUGACUAACCGACUUCGGCCUUUUCUUCCAGAUAUUGUUAGUCCUUUACAAGGAGGUUUUAUUCCGGGUCGUGGUGCUCCUGAUAAUAUUAUUGUGGCCCAAAAAANNNNNNNNNNNNNNNNNNNNNNNNNNNNNNNNNNNNNNNNNNNNNNNNNNNNNNNNNNNAAGGUGCAAGGAGUGAAAAUUUUUUUCUUUUCUUUUCGACCAUCUGGUGGAUUUGGAGAAGCAGGAAUCAUGACUUAUUUAAUAUAGAUGAUUCAUGGAGUGCUAGUAAAGUGGUGAGUUUGAUUCGUAGUUCAGUAAGGGAGUUUCACACUAUUUUUGCUAUGCAUCAAUCUCUGUCUCCUCCUUCACUUUGUUUGCAUUGGGUUCCACCUCCAGUUUAUUCUGUUAAAUUGAAUUGUGAUGCUAGUUGGUUUGCUCCUUCUAGCUAUGCUGGUUUUGGUUGUAUCAUUCGCAAUCCUGAUGGAUGUUGGUUGAAAGGUUGCACUGGGAAAGUCGAAGUAUGCAGUGUUCUUUUUGCUGAAUUGUAUGCAAUUUGGAGAGGUUUACUUCUUGCUUGGGAGAGUAAAUUUCGUGAGGUUAUUUGUGAAACAGACUGUUUAGAAGCUCUUUUCUUGGUAAACCAAAGAAUGCUUGGUAAGGAUAUUCCGGAAUGGGAUUUGGCAAAGUAUAUACAGGAGGUUAUGAAUUGGAAUUGGAGAGUCUCUAUUCUUUUAAUUCAGAGGACUGCAAAUAGUGUUGCAGAUUGUAUGGCUAAAGCAGCUGCUUCUGUCGCGGAUAUUUACUCGAAUUGGAGCCAACCAUGGAGUGAGCUUCAACAUCUAAUAGAUUUAGAUAUGACCCUAGCCAAUUAAUUUGGUUUUGUCUCUUUUUUUUCUUUCUUUUCUAUUUAGUCACAAAAAAAAAAAAACAAGAACAUAAACAAAAACGCCAAUGAGUUAUAGCUCAAAUGGCAUAGUCUCCUCAUACUCAAUUAAGAAGUUGCGGGUUCGAGUCUCCUAUCUUUGGUUAAAAAAAAAAAGAACAUAAACAAAAACAUAUAAAACAAAAAAGUCCACCCAUCCCUAAUAAGUUAAAUGACGGUAACACGGCCAAGUCCAAAAAAAAAAUGAGGGUAACAUAGCAAAAGCAAAAGCAACAUAGUUUAGUCCAUGGAGUAAUUAUCAAGGUUCUGAAAAUCGGACCGGUCAUCAAACCACUCUAGUUACUGGUUUAUUGGUUUAUUGGUCUAAUCGGUUUAAUCGGUAGUUCAACCGAAAAAAUCAUUUUAGAAUAAAAUAAUAUAUAAAUUAUAAAUAAACAUCCUAAAAUAUCUUCCAAAUUUAAAACACUACACAAAAAAUCAUCAACCAAAAAGGAUUUCAGAUUAGCCAGAUUAACUUUGUGAUAAAGUACCAGAAAUUUAAUGGAUUUCAGACUAAUAACAUUUAUUUUUUCAUCUUUACAGAUGAUAUUAAAUUCCGUAUACAUAUACUAUAUAUGGGUUUAUUUUUUAUUUUUUGGACCAAGUAUUAGAAGCAUUAAUUAUCACACACUGCAUUCUUUCCCGCUACUGUUUAUUGAGCUUAGCCAAUAGCACUUUCAAGUUUCAAUUCAUCUACCAAUUAGCAGUGAUUUUCUAAUAACAAAGUCAAAAACCAAUUGGUUGUUUUUGGACUUUCAUCAUGUAUGUAAGUAUGUUAAUUAACAAGGACAAAGCAACGUUCUGAAUAACAAAAUUGUUAGCACAAAAAUUAAUAAAGAUUAAUAAAGAUAAACAUAAGACUGAUUAUAAUGAACAAGUAAUAGUUUCACAAUUUUAACAUGGCCUGAAGUGAUCUUAGUGGAUGAUCAUGAACAAACUCUACUAAAAAACAGGAUGAAAAACCAAAAAGAAAGGAAAACUUAGAAGUUGGAAUGCUAGAACACUGUAAUUGCUAUUUAGAAAAUCAAUAUAGUAACAAUGUUAUUGAGUUUACACAUAUAUGUUCAAGACUCAUCCCAAGACUCCUUUUUAACAAAACUAAUCUCAAUUGAUAUACCGGAUAUAUAUUUCCGAUAACUAACAGAACUUAAUUUUACUAAGUGAUUUCACUAUCUUUUGUACCCUUUGUCAAGUAUAAAUUAACUAAUUUAGUUAAUACACAGCUCCAAACACAGCAAGUAAUCUGCUUCAUACACAUACACUCCUCAAUAACAGUGAACUAUGCUUCAUAAACAACUCAAAUUGUCAAAAUCAGAUUUCAAGAAAUGCAUAAUUUAUCAAGCAUGGCAAAGCUAAGUUCUCAAACAAAAUUUUAAUUGAACACAGAAUCACAACAUAACAGAGCACAAAAUACAGCAGAGUAUAUCACAACAGCAUUGAGCAAAGCUAAUCAAUAAUGAAUUAAACAUUCAAUAAUUAAUCAAUAAUUCAAUAAUCAAUAUAAUAUCUGAACGAAAAAUAAAAACAAAAAGAAAAAAAGCAUUAGCAGUGAGUAGAGAAGCCAUUGCCUUCUUCGAUCUGAGCAGUCUGGGCAGAGUAUGAAGAAAAGUGGUUGAGCGCGACGGACGACGGUGACCAGGCGACAAGCACGAUGACGGACGGCGGCAGAAGCGUGGCUGAGCAGAGGUAGACCGGACGACAGACGCGGAGAACAAGGAAGAAGCUGUGAUUGGUGAAUGAGGAGAGGAGUUGGAGACUUGGAUCACGACGACGACGACCAGACAAGGACAAAGCUCCUGAGCGCAACGGACGGCGGCGGAAGCUAUUGUGAGCUAGGGUUUCUUUUUGGGGGAAGAUAGCUUUGUUUAAGAGAGUGAGAGUUGAGAGGAGUUGGAGUGAACAGAGGUUGGAGAGCUCAAGAACGACGAUGGCGCGACGAACGGCGGCAGUGUCUCCUUCCUAGCAGCGGCGGUGGAGGCUACUGCUUUUGUUUUUUGUUUGAGAGUGAGUUUGAGAGGAGGAGGAGACUGAACGCCGAACGCUUUCCUUUGUUGUUUUUAUUUGAAACCCAAAACGGCACCGUUUCAGCAAAACCGGCUGGGUUUCGGUUCGGUCUGACCGGUCGAUUCUCAGCCGGUUCAACGGUUUUUAAGCGGUUUUUAAAUUAGCGGUUUUAUAAGUUAAACCAAACCGUAAUUGAUUUAGUAUUUUAUUUUUAAUUAAGAUUGUUUAUGUUUCACUCGAUUUUUAGUAUAUUUUCACAAUAUGUCAAACUGAGAUUUAUCAAGAUCUUAAUAUUAGAGAGUAGAUACAACUUUUUUGAAAAAGAAUGAGUUCGACUCAAAAAUUACUUAAUUAUGAUUUCAAAAUAAUUUAUGUCGAAAUUACUAAUGAUAAAUUUAUAAAAAAAAAAUACAAACAACAUUAUAAGAAAUAAAUAAUUAAACAAAGAAGACAAUGAAAGUAUAAAAAAAUUGAUCAAAGCAAAAUAACAACAAAACUCAAAGAAAAUAAAAGAAAAGAGUAAAGUGUUGUUUUUGUCCCCAACGUUUGGGGUAAGUCCUAUAAUUGUCCCUAACGUUUAAUUCGUCCUAUUUUUGUCCCCAACGUUCCAAAAAUGAUGCAAUGUUACCCCACCGUUAAUUCCAGUCACAGAACACUAACGGAGAUGCCUACGUGGAUCCCUUUGUCCACUCUGGCAAACUUUGUCCCUGGUGACCGUUACUGAGCAUUUGAGAAAAAAAAUUGGAAAUUUAAUUUAAAAGGAUGUUGAAACCCUAAUUUCAUCGUGCGUCUCCUAUAGCUUCUCCUUCUCACCAUCGCCGUCUCUGUUGAAGUUGAUUGCUGAGUCCAUGGCUUCGCAGGGCUCCCAGGCGCCGAGUAGUAGCUUUGUUUCAGGUCGAAACAGCAGCCAAGGUCGUCGACGGAGAAGAACUUGUUACUGUGGGGAGAGGCCAGUGCUUGCGACUUCGUCAACGGCAGAAAAUCCGGGACGGAGGUUCUGGGGCUGUGUUAACUAUGGGGUAAGUAGGAAACUUUGCAUCUGGGUAUGGCUGUUAUUUGGUUUUUUGAUUGGAAUUUUCUUUUGGUUUUUGCCUAGAUUGGAGAAGAGUGUGAGUACUUUGUGUGGGCAGAGUCGGAGCAAGAGCCACAAGUUCCUCGAUUGAAAAGAAGAAUCACAUGCUUGAAGGGUAAAGUGACAACAGUUGAGAGGAUGUUGAGAAUGGCAGUAGCAGUUGGUCUGGUUGGAUGGACAUGCGCUAUAAUUUUGCUGUGUGAAAAAUUUUCAUCAACAAGAAAUGGGAGGUUCUUUUUGCAGUAAGGCUGCAGAAACAUAGUGGCUAGUGUAAUGUGUUGGCAAUGUGUUGUCUGUAAUUUGGUGUGUAAUGUAACCUGUUGAUUGAAAUUUUUUGAAUGAAAAUUUGUUGUUAUCCACUUUUAUGUGUUUAGUUUACAUUCUCAUGGUACAAAUAUGGAGGUAACUGUCAGCAGAAAUGAUUAAAUGAAACAGGAAAAUAGAGCAAACAUAAAGCAUUAAAAUCAACCAUAUGGCAUAGAUAGGCAAUAGUCAGCAACUUAAGAUACAUACAUUCCUAAGUAGAUGUCUUAGAACUGGAAAUAUAAGUCAACAUAGAUGCUAAACAGUUUUACUAUAGUAGCAGUAGCAAAACCAAAUUGAAAACAGUUAGACCAACAACCAUAGUUCCUAAGCUGAUACAAAAGGCAAAAUACAAAAAUUGUAACAAGUGAAACAAAGUCAUUCCACUUUCUUCCAUGCUCUUGGUGGUGUCCUGGCCAUGAACCUUAGCUGAGACUGGGUGACCCUCUUCACUGGGCUUGGCAGUACCCUUGUAGUUGUUGGGGCUGGUGCAGAUGCAGUCUGUGAUUAAUUCACUUUGGCCCUUUUCAAAGCAGCUUGUGAUUGUUGGGAGCUCACAGGUGGCUUCCUCUUUGGGUGUGAGGGUGGUUUGUUGUUGCUGCCCCUUUGCUUCCUACUUCCACUAUCAGCAGCCUUACCAGAAUCUGUCUUGGCAGAUAAUCUGGAACUUUUUCUGACUCCUUACCUGUUUCUACCCUUUGAAGUAGAAGUAGCAACAUUGUUAACCUGGUGACAAAAUAGAAACAGAAUAAAUAACCAAAUACACAAUUAGGAAACAUAAUAAACACAUAAUUAAAAUUUGUUACAGUUGGAUUUGGUGUGACUUUGCGCUUCUUUGGACAACUUCUUUUGUUAUGGCCAGAGCACAAACAGUAAGAGCACUUUUGCUGUUGCCCUUCACGAGACAGUCCAGUCCUAGUAGCCUGCUCAUCAGCACCUCUUGCUCUCUUCUUCUUUGGCCUCCCAAUAGGUUUUCUAUAAGUUGGAGGCAACACAUCCUCGAACUGAGUUCUGUCCCAAAGAUUUGGCCCAUUGACUGGGUAGAUAACAUGCUGGUAGCAAGAGAUGUAUGCAGUCUUUUUGUAGUAGUCAGCAACAUAUGAAUCCACAUUGAAACACAUUUUUCUUAUGCAUGUCAUGGCAUGUGCACAAGGAAUUCCGGACAGUUGAAACUUUCUACAUGAGCAUUCAUGAUGCCUAAGAUCAACCACAAAUUUUUCCUUACCCCCCUGAAUGCUAACCACCUCAUAUCUAUCACGUCCAGCAUACACACUCACCCAUUGACCACUUAGUUCGGCUUGUUUUUCUACCUUAAUCCUAAUUCUGGGCAACACAUCUCUAUUAUAAGGCACUAUUCUGUCCCUGUUGUCAGCACAACGUUUCAUGAUGUAAACCCGGAUAUCCUCUAGCAUAGUCACUAUUGGCUUCUCCCUAGCCUCAACCAGAACAGAAUUAAAAACUUCACACAUAUUGUUAACUAAAGUGUCACACCUAGGUCUACACUCAAACCUGUGACGACACCAGUAUUUUGUUGGAAUCUCCAUAAGAUAGUUGUAUGCUCCCUGAUCCACCUUCUGUAUCUCACUCAUCCUCCUUUUCCAUUAUUGAAGAUAAGUUGCCUUGGCAGCAUUCCACAUCAUUAGCUUCAACUGGAGUCCUGGAUAUCUCUUCUUGAAAUUUGCAUACAGAUGUCUGACACAAAAUCUGUGGUCAACUCCAGGCAGAAGCUCCUCAAAAGUUGGCACCAACCCCUGUUUUGAGUAUAAGAAAAGUUGUGACAAAACUUAUGAAUGUUACAUGCUAACUAGAACACUUGUAAUUAAGUAUCAAAUAACAUAAAACACAUGUAAUUAACUAGAACACUUGUAAUUAAGUAUCAAACAAAAUAAAAUACAUGUACCUUCUGUUGGUCAGACAUGAAGGUGCAGGUCCUGAUUUUGUCUACUCCUAGGUCAUCACACAGGUGCUGGAGGAACCAUGUCCACGAGUCCUUUGUUUCAGCUUCCACAACUGCAUAUGCUAUUGGCAAGAUUUGAUCGUUUGGAUCCCAACCCAUAGCAGUCAGUAACCAACCUCCAUAAGGUGUUUUCAGAAAACAGCCGUCCAACCCAAUUAUUGGCCUACAAGCCAUAAAACUCCUCCUACAAGCAUCCAACAUCACAUAUAUCCUCUCAAACCUGGGCCUUAAAUCUACCCCUGACACUGGUCUUUCAGAAGCAAAUUCAGGAGGCCUCUGAACCUUCAGAUGCGCUGAUGACCCAGGGUUGGUCCUCAGCAACUCAUGACAGUAGUCAUACAAUCUUCUGUACUGCUCCACAUAUGUCCCCUGCAACUCAUCUAGAGCAAAAUGUCUAACUUUGGAGGCCUUAGAUUUGGUCAACUCCACAUUCCAUUUUGUGUAUGCUUUUCUCAUUAGUGUGGUUAACUUAAUCUUUGGGUUCUCAGCAAUUUUGUUCAAGAAAACCUUACUCAACCACCUUGCAUGCAUGAUUCCAAUCUUCAGCUCCCUAGAGCAAUUGUGCUUGUUGUUGCAGCUCUUCAACUGCCAACUACGCUCAUGCUUCAUCUUUCCACAGUAUGCAUACCAAUCACAUCCCUCCACACAUUCCACCUUAACCCUCUUCAGAUCCACCUUUGUGAAUCUUAAACCCCUGCCACUGCUGACAGCAUAUGCAGUGGCACAGUCUUUGAACUCCUCCCUUGACACAUACAAAGUUCCCACCUCCCAAGUGUAUUCACUCAUGUUCUUCAACGGCCUGUGUAUGGGAUACCUCUUUCCCGGGCCAUCCUCAUCAUCACUGAAUGGAGUAUCCAGAAACUCCUCACUGUUAUAACCUGUAUCCUCAUCACCAAAACCCCCUACAACUUUUUCCUUACCAAGAUUUUGUGCAGCUGGUUGUGAUGAUUGACCAUGAGACUGAUUGGGUGCAGACUCUUUUUCUCCCUCUUCUGUGAUGUUCACAUCAACUAAGCCUUCAGCUCCCUCCCUCUCAUCAUCACUGUCACCAAAAUCAAGACUACCAAGGCUGUGAGUUGAUGCAUUCCCAGCAAUCGAAUCAGAAGUCCAUGAGCUUUCACUCCCCCUGGGUUCAUAGUCAUUAUCUUCAGAUGUCUCACUCCACUCCUCAUCUUCUUCAACAGCAUCAUCACUCUUAACAACCUCACAGGAUCCCUCACUCAUAGACCCAACCUCUUCCACUUCAGUAGGCCCAUCAUUAGGCCCAUCAGUAGGCCCAUCAGUUGGCCCAUCAGUAGCUGCCUUUGACCCAACACCAGGGCCAUCAUACACAACAAUUGGGACAGGCCCAGCUUGAUCACCUUCUUCAGCAAGAGUAGUAAUUUGCCCAGGUUGUACAAUUUCUCCCAACAGAAACACAGGUUCAAAAGACUCUACUAACAUCAACAACCCCAAACCCUAAGAGCAAUAACAUUGCAAUCUCAGAAACCCUAUGCAUUAACAUUUUCACUUGCAUGAACUAUUCAGGCCAAACGAAAAUCAUACAUACAUUGCACAUACCUUUUCGCUCUGUGCCGUUUCGAAGUUUUCAGAACUACCAACACGAGGCAACGCUCUCGUGUGUAGGUAGCACACAACCACCAACUCGCUUCAAUAUGUCUUCUUCCUUCCUAAUCGAGCGCGAAGAACAGAGGAGCAAUAAUCAGUAGGGUUCAGGAGGUGUGGGUGGAAUGUGAAGUGUUUCGUUUUCCUUAAACUGCAAGCGUUUCGUAUGGUCAAAGAAAACAUUACGCGCGAAGUGAACCCCCAGUCAAUACACACGUUUGGGGUUACUAACGCCUCGCGUCCACGUAGGCAUCUCCGUUACUGUUCCGUGAGUGGAAUUAACGGUGGGGUAACAUUGAAUCAAUUUAGGAACGUUGGGGACAAAAAUAGGACGGAUGAAACGUUAGGGACAGUUUUAGGAUUUACCCCAAACGUUGGGGACAAAAACAACACUUUACUCUAAAAGAAAAUGUACUCACAUACACUUAUACUCCAUUUUUCCGUUGCGUCGCUGGAAUUGGAAAUUUUGUGAGUUUACGUGAUGAUCUAGUAUUAUUAGUUGAAGUCCCUCACUUCUUCUAAAUUUCUACUAUUUAUAAACCAUAGGCUUGUCAUGAAACAUGUUUGUCCACUAUCUUACUCCUUUUUUUUCUCAGCCAUAACCUUACUUUUGACCAUGAAGAAUCUUGUCUCCUAAAUUUUGACACCCACGUCUUCUUUGGUCUUCAAAUUCCACGUUUUCUUUAGCUUACUCCUUAAAUUUAGUACCUAUAUUCUCCAUUAUAUUUAUCCUAAAGGUCAAAUAGCAAGCCUUGAUGCUUAAAAAAAGGAAGUAACUGUCUUUCGAUUUCGACUAUCCUUGUACCACUUUUCUUUAACUUCAAUUUAUCUGUAUUUACUUUUUGUAGUCGAAAUUAUUGGUAAUCGAAACGCUCUCUUCUUUUUUCUUUUUUUUUUUACCAAAGAUAUGAGACUCGAACCCGCAACCUCUUAAUUGAGUAUGGAGAAACUAUGCCAUUUGAACUAUUACUCAUUGACAAUCAAAACGCUCUCUUGUCAAAAAAUAUUCAUGUUUUUGUACCAACCGUUUAUAAUAAUAUAAAAAAAAAAUUAACAAUUUAGUAUUAAGUUUCAAAAAAUAAAACAAAUCAUCAAAAUCACCCAUAAAAAAGAGCUAAAAUUCAAUCCAAGUUGAUCCAACAUGCUAAACACAAAUCGGAUCCUAUAUAUAUUUGCCCAAAUCUGAAUAGAUCCGUUCCGUUUACACCCAUUCUUAAACUUCUAUCUUAUCAUUAAAAAGCAAAAAGACAAACACAAGCUCACAUGCAGGUAGUAGAGUUCGGUACAAUACAUACUGCUACUACUGGUGUUACCAUUAUUGAAGCUAGGAAAAGAAAAGAAGAGAGGAAGUUGCAAAAAAAUAAUUAUCAUCAAAACAAAAACCAAACUAUAACACUAGUGAUAGAUUCAGUUUCCCAAACGCUACCAACCGUACCCAAACAUACAUGCACUCAUCUAAUCUUGACCAGAAACGCUCCUCAAGUUUUGCCACAAAUAUCUACAUACACAUACACUUUUAUCACAGCAAAUUAAACAAAUGCAACUUGGUGGCAUAUAAAAUAAACUUUCACAUACAUAAUAGUGUUUAUUUUUGAUGUACUGAUAGUGUAAAAUAUUUUAUACAAUUGUUUUAUAUUAUCGUGCAAUCACAUUCGUCUGUAUUCAUACGGUCAAUAAAAAUAAUAAUUAUUUUUUAUAAUGUGACAUUAUGUAAUUAGAUACAUAUAUAAAACUAUUUUAUACUAACAAUGGGUGCAUCAAAAUUAAAUUAUACAUCAUAAUCCUAUUAACAAAAUAAGAUUUUAAUGUGAUAUGAUUAUGCAUUCUUUAAGACAAAUUAAUGAGCCUACAGGCUGUAGUCUGUAGUAGAUAAAAAAGCACGAUAAGGGGAUAAAGCGAGCCUUAAUUAUAGGUUUAGACUUUAGAGUAGUGUUUGAAAAUUGGGACAAAAAAAUUAAGAGUAAAUAUUUAAAAGGUCUUCCUAAAACAUAUAUUUUAAACACACAAUAAAUAAUAUAUUUAAUUUUGAUAUACGGUGAGUGUAAAACAAUUUUAUUUUUGUAUUUAAUUAUAUAAUCUCACGUAAUAAAAAUAACUACGGUUUAUAUUGAGAUGCAUGAAUAAUUAUCCAAAACGUUUUAGAUGCGAUUGAAUGAAUAUGUAAAAUGUUUUAUACUAAAAAAAUUAGAGUUAUUGUUUAAGUGAAGUCAAAUUGAAAUUGAAACAUAAAUCAAAUGUAAAUUGAUGUUUUGUUCGAAAACAAAAGUUAUGACAAUCAAAUUUUGAUUGUUGUCUUGUAAAAAAAAAAUUAAUUUAUAGCAAAGAAUUAAUCUUUUUUUUAUUGAACCAUGCUUUGUUCAUUUUAAUGAUUUUAUGAUAUGAAUUCUAUUUUAUCAUACAAAUUUUUACUCUACUAUCUUUUCGGAGUUUUUUUUUAUGAAUUCUUAUUUUAUGUUAUAAUUUCGUUGGUAAUCAUAAAAAAAUAAUUUUUCUUUAAGAUAUCUAUUUGUGCUACGAAUUAUAUGUAAAUUGUCAAAAGAAACAUUUUUACAUAAUCUAAAUAAAAAAUAUUAAUUGGAACUUAAAGUUGGUAGAAAAGAGAAGACAGUUCUCCCCAAUUCUAAUUUAAAGUAUGCUCGUAUCUAUUGAUUAAAUAAAUGAUUAUUAAGAACGAAAUAAUCUAUUAAUUUUUUUUGUAAGUAUUUAUCUCCUUUUGAUUUGCACAAAAAAAAAAGACUAAUAGGAACAAAAAUAUAACCCUAUNUUUUCAUAUGUGUUGAAAUUAACAAAAUUCUGAAUUAUAUUUGUAAUUUAUGUAUAUAGUAAUGUGUGUUAAGAAAAAGAAGAAAAACAUCAGGGAAACUCUUUAGCUAUUAAGAGUCAAUAAUGGUGGUUGAAGAAACAAAAAAAUAAGAAGAAGAAAAAUUUCUAACUAUUGAAAUAAGAAACAAUAGUGAUUAAUUGGCAGUAUAGGGAAUGAAGAUGCAUGAAUGAAAAGACUAAAGAAGUUGAACUUAAUUAUUAUUGAAUGGCUGCUGUGUUGUAUGUGCAAUGUGAAUAUGGCCAUCCUUAAUAAGGAGUGGGCACCAUGUGUUAGAUAUUAGGGAUUUAAUACCAGAGAUUUGAAAUACUAAAUAGAAGAUAAAUAUAUACUUAUUUUGAGUUUAUAGUUAUCGUAUGAGUCUAGUAAUUAGAAGAGAUAAUAUUUAUAUAAAGAAUUUAGUACUUAAAAAUAGCUCAUGAUGAAUUUAUUAGUCAACAAAUAAAUUAGAUGAAUAUGUAAAUCUUUUUUAUAAGAUGCAUAUAUAAUUUAAUCAGGUCUUAAUCAUUAAAUAUUUAAAUACAAAAAAAUAUUUUAUCAUAUAUACUAAUCAUAAAAUCUGAGAUCCAAUAAUACAUAAUAAUAUCUAAAAUCUAAAAUCCAAAAUCAAUUACUUAUCACUUUGUGACUUUUAUUUUUAAAAUAUUAUUAUAAAAGAGUAAAUCACUUUCUAAACAACCGAGAGAGCAGUCGUCUGACAAAUUAUUUUUUAAAAUAACAAAAAUGGGUAGAGAAUCGAAUAUAAAAGCUACAUAUUUACUCAACAAUGAAAGUAUUAAACGGUUAGUACAUAAAUCUAUCUAACAAUUCAUAUUCAUAUUUUCUUUUUACCGUAUUUAUCAAUCUAACAAAUUAAAGACUAAUUUUUCUUAGAUCUAAACUCUAUUUAAGAAUUUAUUGUUAAUCUAUAGUUAUUACAUAAAUAGAUUAGUAAACUAUCCAUCAGACACAAAGAUAUGACAUAAAGAACAAAGUUCUUGUAUUUUUUAUUUUUAAUAGAGAUAAUAAAAAUGGAGCCAAUAAUUGUACUUGGAUUGGUUUUAAAAAUUCCCAAUAAGUGAUAACGAAGUAUCUAUAUAUCUUGGUUUCUUGAAGUUCAAAUGAAGUUUUCUGGAGAAGACAGCUCCUUAUCUCGUACUCUGUUUAAAAACACACACAUGUGAUUAGUGAUCUAGUUGUGCAAGAUUCCAAACUCUGAAUUAUUGAGAGGAUGGAUGGUGAAUUGGUGAUCCCCACUCGGAAUGCGCCAAGUUUCUUCAAAGAGGUUCAGACUAGGAAAACAUCGUUAUUUACUUUAAUUUUUAAUGAAAACCAAAAAUGGGAAGCCAAACAGAAUGGGCCACCGUCGUGGUUGGCAAACAAUCCUUGACCCCCCCAGGUAGAUAGUUGUGAAAAACCUCACAAAACGACAAAGGAUAAAAGAUUUUUAUUUUUUCUUCGAGAUUAUGUGUAAAUAAAAAUUUAUAUAUAGAUGUCUUCGUAUAUAAAAUUGAUAGUUAAGAGCCGUUUAAUGAUAUUAUCAUCUAACGACUUUUAACUCAACUUCAAUUAUAGACUAUAAGAUAGAUACAUACAAGAUAGUAUGUAUAUGAAUAAUUUGAUUUUGAAAGCUCUAAUUUUCAAAUUAUAAUUGAUUAGGCAUUGAAUGUUAUAUAGGAAAAAAAAACCUUUUUCCUUAGAGGAAAUUGACAAAUUUGUAUAAAGUAGUCUUUUUCUCCAGGAAAAUUAGUGUUCAUUAUUGAAUGUCUUUUUCAGAUAAUCGUAUAAGUUGAGUGAAAAUAACUGUAGCGAUUUUUGGGAAAAAGGACCCUUUUUUUCUUUAAUGUUACGUUGUAUAGAAUAAAAAUACAAAAUUACAAGAUAGUUAAGCCAUAUUUUAAAAUAUCAAUUUAAAUUUAAGGAUGAAAAACAUGAAAUAAAUAAAUUAGGUAGAGUUUACAAUUUAAUCGAUGAUUGAAAAAGUAUCUAAAUGGAAGACAUAAUAUAAACUAUUUUUUCUAAUAAUAAAAUAUUUAUUAUUCACUAAUAUAUAACAUUAUAAUAGCCAAUGAGUUAUAGUUCAAAUAGCAUAAUCUUCUCGUACUCAAUUAAGAGGUUGUAGGUUCGAAUUUCCUAUCUUUGGUUAAAAAAAAAAUAUAACAUUAUAAUAAAAAUUUAUACUAACGUCCAAUUAAAUUUUGACGUUUUUGAGAUACUUAAUGAAAAUAGGUCAAACUAAAUGCAUUAUAUUCACUAACAUGUCAAUACAUUACUAUAUAUUUGUACAAAUCCUCACAUAACACCUUGUCAAUUAGAGAUAAUUUGACUUACAUGGCAUAAUAAUGUUUUGAUUAGCGCACUCUUACGUUAACAUGAUGCAAGUGUUCAAAUCACGCAAAUCAAAUUUAUUUAUAUCUUAUUAUCUUUAAAUAUAUAAAAGCAUUUUAAAAUACGGCGAAGAGGCCAAAAAAGAUUUUGCGUGUGUAAGGCCACCCGUUCUGACCAUCAUCACCGGCCACCGCCAAAACUAUAAGACAUAACGUUCACGUCUUCACCCUAUAAAUUCGAGUCCUUACCACGCCACUUCUCUCCCAACAGAUUUAAGAAACAACUCUAUUUCUGACGUCAGCGAAAUUAAAUCAAAUUGAAAACAAAAGAAAAGAGCGAGGACCAAUUGAAGAAAAGAGAUCGACCGUUGAAUAUGGAGUCGUUGCAGAAGAAGGUUGUGUUUGACGGAGAAGCGGCGUCGAUGAUGAUGAAGGAGCUGAGAGGGAGCUUCGGUUCUGGAAAGACUAGAAGCUACGAGUGGAGAGUGUCGCAGGUGAAGGCACUGCUGAAGAUGGUGACUGACAACGAGAAACAGAUCAUCGAUGCUCUUCUCUCCGACCUCGCCAAGCCACCGCUCGAAACCGUCGUCUACGAGGUCAAUCUUUUCACUUUCCUCUCUCUCCCUUCUCCUCAAUUUUCUUUACGCAUUCUCUCUCUAUAUUAAUAAAAUAAUUUUAUACGUGUAUUUAAUUAGUAAAAAUAUAUUAAUAAAAAUAAUUAAUUUUAUAUUAAUUAUUAAAAUAAUUAUUUAUAAAAAUAAAUAUAAUUUUUCACACGAAUAUAUAAAAUAUUUUAUANNNNNNNNNNNNNNNNACUUCUGAAACUUCUAUCUUUUGCAUUCUAGUCCCCCUCCUCCCCCUUAAUUAAAAUUUGGGAAGUGUUGUUCUUGCUUUCUGAAUUGAGAUAGGGGAGAGAAUAAAUUAAAUAAUCAUUGGUCUCUGGUUGGUAGAAGAUGAACUCUCAGUUCUUGAAUGAUAUUUGUCUGCGUGUGUAUUAUUUAGUUAAAAUAUUCCAUUGUCGAUGCAUGAAUGUUAGAUUUGCAAUAAAUGACUCUUCCACUUAAUAUAUCUUGUAUAUUCUACUCAAAAAUAAAUAAAUAAAUAAAUAAAUAAAAUCAUUUUUACCGGCUUAAUUCAUGUUAGUUAUAACUAUUUUAAAUAUAUUACUAUGAAUUUCAAGCACGAUGUAUGUAUUUUUAGAAACUGAAAUUACAAGGAAAAAAUCUUGGCAAAUAUAUAAAAUUAAGAAUUGACAAAAUUAUAAAUAUACGUAUACUUUUUUUUUAAAAUAUGCUGGUUUGUUUUCUUAAAGGUAAAGUAUAACCAUGAUUACUCUUCAGAAUAUAUAAAAUUAAGAAUUGACAAAAUUAAUAAAUGUUCAACAUUAUUAAAGCAUUAUUUCAAUAGCUUUUCUUUUGAGGGUUGAUGAUUUCAUCAAGUAUAAGACUGUGUUAAGGCAAAAUUUUUUAAUUCAUAUACGUUCAUAUUAAUUCUAUACUAAAUCUUUAAGGAUUUGGAUUCUCUAAAGUUUGAAUUUUACUUUAGAGAGUAAAGUGUGAUUCUUCUACUUUUGAAUAAUUUCUUUUUCAUAUUUAUUCUUAAUCCCACCUAUAAAAUCAAUGUUUGUUUGAAGGAAAAAUAGAAAAAAAAAAUGAUUAUUUUUCAUUGUUCAUUUGUUUGAUUGAAAACUACUAAUUUUUCUUUCUCUACUUUCAAUACUAUUCAUUCACUUUUUUCAAUAUAUUUUAUAAUAUAAGAGUAAAAUUAUUUUUUUAUAACAUUUCUUCUUUUCUUAUUUUUCUUUCAUCCAAACACAACUAAAAAAAUAAAAAUCUACUCAAUUUUUUUUCUUUCCUUUUUAUUUUCUUCUUUUUUAUUUAUUUCCUUCCAACCAAACAUAGCCUAAGUGUCUGGAGUUCAAUCUGAAGAUGACAGCAAUACAGUUGAAACAUCAGAAAUCAAAUCGGUGCAUGACGUGAAUUUCAUUAAUUCUAUCUUACCUUCGUUAAUUCAAAAAUAUUUUAAUUCUUUCUACAUUUUUGGUUUUUUUUUUGUCGGUGGAUUGGACAACCCCCAAUUCUAGGUACACAAUACACACCUACACAUUCCUCACAUAUUUACCAAUUUUUUCUUCUCGUUGCAGCUGGUAGGACUCGUAUUAGAUUCAAACGUAUAACGUAUUACACUAUUUUAUGUGAAAAAAAAAAAUUCAAACUUAAAAAUCCAAUUAGCUAAAUCCAAUAUACACUUGAAAGCUAAAGGUCCAAAAUUUGAAGUCUGUUCUCUGGUUCAAGUCCAACAGUGACUAACUAGUCCAUCAGUUUAAUAAUAAAUUGGUUUAAUUUCUCAACCCAAUCAAGUUGCAAACAAAGUAAUUUGAGCGAAUUAAUAAUUCUAAAGCCCAGCCUGUAAUAAUUUUUUGGAUUUUUGUUAAAUUGUAUGUUGCUUGAUUCUUAUUUGAGUAUUUGUAAGCGUGUGGCCUGAUCGAGUUUUAGCACUUCGGUCAACCUUUCACGAUAAGGGUUUUUUUUUUUUUAAUUUUAAAAUGUUAUUUUUAUUUUAAUAUAAAGGUAAAACCAUGACAAACGAGAGGAUGGAUUUUUCUAUAAUAUUCACACGAAUAUGUCGUGUGAGUUUUAGUUUUUACACAAAUUACACGUGUGAUUUUGCAGUAAUUGGAAAAGGACACUAAUCUAUUGUAAUCAAGAUGCUAAAAUCUUUGUUAAAUGUUAGCUUCAACUUGCGACAGUUGCUACUAAAGCAAACAUAUUUUGAAACUCUUGACAGAAACAAAUGUGGAGGAAAAUCCUAAUUUCCCUGCUUAUUUUUUCAGAUUGGAAUGUUUAAAAACUCAUGUGAAGUCAUAUUGAAGGAAUUGAAACAAUGGAUGAAGCCAGAGAAGGUAUUUUACCUCAUUAGCACAUCAGAAUUGACAUGGAUACUGAUUAUUAAUAUGCCUUAUUGGUUACAGAGUUUAUUUAAUUUAUGACAUGAAUUUCCUUUCUCCUUUUUAAUUCAGGUCAAAACUUCAAUAUCAACAUUUCCUUCUUCAGCUGAAAUAGUACCUGAACCACUUGGGGUUGUGUUGGUCAUUUCUGCAUGGAACUAUCCAAUUUGUAAGUUAUUAUUCAGUUGAACUUGUUUGAUAUGUUUGAUCCUAACAACCUAUAUGACGAUUACAUAUUAGUUAUAUAUUUUAUCUUCUUUUUUCCAGUGCUGUCUCUUGAUCCAGUGGUUGGAGCCAUUGCAGCUGGUAAUGCUGUGGUUCUAAAACCAUCAGAGAUUGCUCCAGCAACUUCAUCACUGAUGGCUAAACUGUUAGCAGAGUACAUGGAUAACUCAUGUGUUAGAGUUGUUGAAGGAGCAGUUGAUGAAACAACUGCACUCUUGGAUCAAAAGUGGGACAAGAUUUUCUACACAGGUUCUUCAUUUCUCCCGUCAUUAUUCCAAUUUCCUUGGAUGAAGUAAGAAUGUUGCAGUAUCCGAGUUUCUGCAUGGAUAAAAAGUCAUAAUCAAUUAUUGAAUUUGUAGGUAAUGGAAGAGUGGGACGCAUAGUCAUGGCUGCUGCUGCAAAACACCUUACACCUGUUGUUCUGGAGCUUGGAGGAAAAUGUCCAGCAGUUGUUGAUUCAGAUGUCAAUUUACAGGUAUUGACCAUUGGCCAUGAUUUUGAUCUUUCUUCAGUAACAUUCUAUCAUUUAGGCCUUCUUGAAUCUCAUUCUUGAUUCAAACUUAAUUUGUAUCUUACUAGGUAGCAGCUAGACGCUUAAUUUCUGGCAAGUGGGGACUCAACAAUGGACAAGCUUGUGUUUCUCCAGAUUAUGUUAUUACAACAAAAGACUUUGCUCCCAAGUUGGUAUGAUUUAUUCUUCGAAAUAAAGUAUUAUUUGAAUGCUUUUAUUAUCUUGAAAUAAUAAAAGAGAAGCCAAAAUAUUCAUUGUUUAAAACUUAGAUGGAGGUUUAGAAUGAUGAUUUAAGAUGAUAUUGUCAUAGCUUAUUGUGUUUUGUGCUUCUUAUUUCUAGGUGGAUUCUCUUAAGACUGAGUUGGAGAACUUCUUUGGAAAGAAUCCGUUGGAAUCAAAAGAUAUAUCCAGAAUUGUGAAUCACAACCACUUUGCUCGCGUAGCGAAGCUUUUGGACGAUGAGAAGGUUUCCGACAAGAUUAUUCAUGGAGGCGAAAAGGAUGAAAGCAAAUUGUAAGUACCCAUUUUGCAUUUUUUACUUUAACUUCAUAGCAUCUGUGAAAUUGUACUAUAUAUUGACACCAUCAUUCUCUUGUAUCACUUUAAUUUCAGGAGGAUUUCUCCCACUUUACUAUUGGAUGUUCCACAUGAUUCUCUGAUCAUGGGUGAGGAGAUAUUUGGUCCAUUGCUUCCCAUCAUCACGGUAGGAAUAAUUUAAUCAAGGCACCUAAAUAACUGUUUUAUAUGACAUUGUUUUUGCAAUUUGUUAUCAAUCUGCAAUAGUAAUUGAUAUGUGCUUCUUUGGAAGAUCAAUAAUGAUGAUAGAUGAUUUUUGUGUAACAGGUGAAUAAAUUGGAAGAAAGUUUUGAUCUGAUCAAUUCAAGAACAAAGCCUCUGGCUGCAUAUAUAUUUACAAACAACAAGAAGCUGAAGGAGCAGUUUGUGAAGAAUGUUUCUGCAGGGGGCAUGCUUGUCAAUGACAUUGCCUUACAUGUAAUGUUCAUUUGUCCCUUUUUUUUAUAAUCUCUUCAAUCAAUGCAUGUGUGUGUGUGCUAAGAACUAAAUAACCAUUCAGAGUUGGAGGGUUACCCUUAUUUCGAUUUUAAAUGAAGAAGAAUCAUGAUAUAAUAUAACCUUCUAAUAAUGUUUCUAAAGAUCACUCUCAUAAAAUGUUUAUGUUUCACUCCACCAAAAUAUUUAAGCAUCUCAGCUAAGAAGAUUGAGGAUGCAUCCAUAUAUGAAGAAUAUUUAUAAUCACUCAUUUUCUAUGUAUUCCUAAAAUAUGCAAAUAUUAAUAUGAAGUGAGAAUAUUGUUCAUCUCUGUUUUGUUCUCUUUUCCUGGUGCAGCUUAUUGUUCCCACGUUGCCAUUUGGGGGAGUAGGAGACAGUGGAACAGGUUCAUACCAUGGAAGGUUCUCCUUUGAAGCGUUUACUCACAAGAAAGCAGUUCUUUAUCGUGGUUUUGGUGGAGAUGCAUCACUAAGGUAUCCUCCAUACACAGAAACAAAACAGAGGGUGAUGAAGGCACUCGUUAGUGGUGGUAUUCUUAGCAUAAUUGCUGCUCUUUUGGGAUGGUCCUCCAAGGCUUAAUUUGGUUUGUCAUAUUAACGUUUUUUUUUUUUUUUACUUUAUUUCUAAUUCGCCUCCUUGUGUAUUAAGAAUGUGUGAUAUUCUUUUCUUUGUUUUGUUUAAUGAGAAAAUCAAUAAGCAAGGCUUGUGCUUGAGAUAGCAAAUAUUUUUUUUUUGUGUUUUUCUGAACUCCUGCAUGAACUUGACCAUAAUCAAAAUUGAAAUUGUAAACAAUGCAAGCAGAUAAAUUAAAUUGGUUUCUUUUCUACAACUUUAAUUAACAAUUAAUCUGCAACGUUACAAAUGUACAUCUUUCUCAUUCUCAAAUCUUAACCUACCUGAUGAAUGAAAACUUAAUCUAUUCAAUAAUACGGAUAAACAAACAAAUAAAUAAAUAAAAUGAAUGAAUGAAAAUGAAUUAAAAAAAAAAAAAACUCCAACUGCUAUUGAGAAUGAAGACUACUCUUGUAAUAUGCUAACAACCUCAGCCCGUUGUUGAUCAGUGAGAUAUGUUGGAAACUCAACAAGAAACUUAAUUCUCAAGUCUCCUCUCUUGUCUGGAUCAUUGAAAAUUGGCAUGCCCUGGCCAGAGAUUACUUUCUCAAAACCAGGGAAUAUGAUAUCUUCUUCAAAACUCACGUUCAUCUCUUCUCCACCCAAUAAUGGGAUCGGUAUUAUGCCUCCACUGAGUGCUUUUACUAAAGGAAUUUCAAGCACCAAUUCCAAAUCAUCACCUUCUCUUCGGAAUAAUUGGUGCUUUUUCUCCCAUAUAGAAAAUAUUACGUCUUCUCGGUAUAAACCAGCUCUAACAUUUCCGGAACUUUCAAAUGUAAUUUUUGUACCAGUCCUCCAUCCUGGCUCCACAUUUAACGUUACGAUCUCUUCUUCUUGAGACAUUUCCCUAUACACCAUCAAAAUCAAGAGGAUUUAUCAUUUAUGAGGGAUAGGAUUUAUUCGAUAAAUUAUCAAAGUGGUAAAACUCGUUACAUACUUUAUAGUUCCACUGUAGUUAUUAUUUUAACUGCAUUUUAGAAGUUCUUCAAGUGUUAAGUAGUUAAAACCAUUGAAUGUUACAAUUGUUACAUAUGAUAUAUAGAUUCUGCAAAGGAAAAAUAAACAAGUGAAAUUCACAUUAUAAUUAUUUAUUUAUUUAUUUUUUGGUUGUUUAAAUAAUUAUUUUUUUAUUUUAAUAGAACUAACAUUUUGUUGCUUUCAUUAAACUAAAGAAAUUUUCUUAAUAAAUUAUAUAGCUUUUAUCAUGAAGUUACGUCCCAACAAAUUUAAGUUAACUAUUUAAGUACCGUUAUUUUCAUGUAAAAUUGAUUGAUUAUUAAGAAUAUCAAAUAAUAAUUUAGUUAAAUUUAUCAAAUUAUUUAAUAAUUAUUAAAAUUAACUUCACAUAAAGAGACAAUUACAUGUGAAUGUCUACCAUAUUUUAAUAUCCCAUCACAAAAAGGUUAUAAAGCUCUCAUACAGUAAUACUAUGUCAUAAUACUUUUUUGAAAAAUUAAACUGAGAAAAUAAAUAUAUGAAUUUCUUGUUAUAUUCUAAUAGUUUUUAACAAAAUGCAAUACUUAGUAUUGUAAAACUUAGAAAGAGGAGGAAAGAUUGGAAAGAAGAAAUACAAAUACUAACCCAUUAGGAGUGAUGACAUCUCUUUUGAUCUUGAACUUCUUAAUGCAUCCAUGGCACAACUCCUCAAGGGUGCACUCAACCGUCAUCUCGAUGGGUUGCGGUUUUAGCAUCGCAGACGAUGANNNNNNNNNNNNNNNNNNNNNNNNNNNNNNNNNNNNNNNNNNNNNNNNNNNNNNNNNNNNNNNNNNNNNNNNNNNNNNNNNNNNNNNNNNNNNNNNNNNNNNNNNNNNNNNNNNNCUUCUCGAGAGUUGCGGCGGCGGUAGGUUGAAACUGUUGCAACCGCUGCCAUUUUUGCUCCAUAACAGUGAUGCGGGUAUGGAUUCACAGCUUCUGCUAGCCCUAUGUCUUUGUGAAUGCAAGCUUGAUAAUCUUCUUGAACUCGUUGAUGGACCAUUAUUGUUGUUUCUAGAACCAUCGUCGUUAUUCGAUCUGAAAUUGUCAUUGUUUCCAUUGAAGCAGGCACCCGCUUCGCUAGCUUCAUCAAAAUGUUUCUGUUGCAAGGAUCAAAAUAGAUUUUUCAUUGACGUGUCUAUUUCUAAAUCCAUUUAAGUAGAAAUUCAGGUGCAAUUGGCUUCGUAUAAAAUUAAUUAUCGAGAGUCGUUAAAUAAUUUGAUAUUUGACUAAAUUAUAAUCUAAUAAUUUUUAACUAUCAAUUUCAGACAAAAAUAACUGCACAUGAAUUUUCAUAUUAAAUCAGCUGCAAAAUGAAGCUAAUUAAUCAUGGAAAACCUAGAUUAUUAUGAAGACGUUUUGGUAACAUAUUGCUAAACUAAAUCUUUAUGUAUUAGUAUUAAUAUAUCAUCACAUAUUUGAUAACCCUAUUUGUGUGAUUACCUGAUGAUGAAGAUGGUUGUGAGAUUGUUGGUUGUAUUUUCUCGUUGAGGAUGAAAAUCGUUGCUUCUUACGACGUAACCAUCUUUUGAAGAUUGAUUUGUAGGCUUUGCAUAAUUUACGAAGGGAAUCUAAGCCAACGACGCAGGAAGCUUCCACCAUGAGAAGAAGGAGAAAAAGAAAGAAAGAAAGAGAGGGAGGUAGAAGAGAAUACGGGUAAGAGUAACAACGUCCACAAAGAGAGGUGAACGAAUGCAUGGAAACCCAAAUAUUGGUGGUGCCUGUUUAUAUAUAUAUAGAGGCUUUUAUUAGCUACUUCCAUCUGUUAUUAGCAAAGCAAAGACUUUAUUUAAUUUUUCUUGUUUUAUUAAAUACUUUUCCCGGUGUUUAAAACAUACAGCUCAGAUUUUUUUGUGGGGUCAACUUACAGAUCACAUUUGAUUUGGGAUGGGAUUUGACUACUAACCGUAGUUGUAGAAUUAAAUUACCGCGUUCAUUUCAUCUAAUUAACUUCAACGUAACCCAUCCACGAUGAGCAUACAAUCUUCUACCCUUUUUCAAUUUUUUAUCUNUUAACUCAUUAUUAAUAUGUAUUUUAUAUUCUGUUAACAUAUAUUUUGUAAGAUAAAAGUAAAACACAUAAAUAAAAGAAAUGACAUCUAAUAUUACACGAAUGUCUUGAAAUCGAAAAUGUUACUUGCAUGUCUUAUUAGUGUUUCUAUGUAAAUUAAACCAGGAAAAUUCAAUUUAGGACUUUUCAUGGUGAAUUGAAUCGGUAAGAUUCAAAUUAGUAUGCAAAAAGGUAAAUAGAGAUAUACAAUUUCGAAUGAGUAGGAAAAAACGUUACUAAAUCGAAACAGGAGACUUUGAAUUCCAGUCCAUAAUAAAUCAAAUUGGGUGGCUUCAAUUUAUUACUUCUAUACCUAUAUAUACAAUUCAAAAUUUUGUUGUUUUAAAUUACAUUUUCACACAUUCUUUCCAUUUUCUUCCAAUAUUCUUUGAAGAGAGAAAAGUGAGGUCCCAAUUCAUAGUAAAUCGAAUUAGGUGGUUUCGACUUACAUAUAAACAUUGAAAAAAUAAGACAUGCAUAUAACGUUUUAGUUUUAAGAUAUUUAUGUAAUAUUAGAUGCUAUUUCUUUUAUCUAUGUGUUUUAUCCUAUUUUAUAUUAGUAAUUAAUUUUGAUAACUGAUUUUGAUAUAUACAUUGUUGUAUCUAGAAUUAUAUACAUUGGUUAAAUCAAUGUGUUUUUGUAAAUCAAUUUUAAUUAAAAUUACAUUAGUAUUAAUAUAAAUUGUGGUUAGAUAUUUUUUACACUAAUUAUAAAAACUAAAAUAAAUAAGAGGAUGUGAAUUGAAAUCGAAUGAAAUGAAAUUAUUGUACUUUUUUUAUGCAAUAAGAUAUGAACUCAUUUAGUCUCAUUUGCACAUAUUAUAACUUUUUGGAAGAAACUAAAAUUUUUAAUUUCUCAAAUAUGAGGGAAAAUAACAAAUUGUCAAGUUUAGAGGUUUAAAUAUCUCUUAAUUAAUUUUUUUCUCCAAUCUAAGAUAUUAUAAAUUCGUGUACACUAUUUACUCAUAUACAUAUUUAACAGUUUUAUCAGCUAUUUGACUACUACUAUUAAGGUUUGAAUUUAUGUGGAUCAUAUUAAAAGAUAGGAAACGGAUCUGAUGUUCCGUUGUACUUUUAAACUGCAGUGUGUCAAGCCUUUUUAUCGUAGAAAUUUAAUUUAAAGUAUUGGAAGGGCCAACAUGUAAGGAGUUAUAGUUAUUGUGCAGCACAUUGAAGUAAGGAGUAUGGAAGGCAGUCAACAGGCCCAACAAUUGAGCUCUGCUGGAGGAGUGUAAAUGUCUUCUUUCUCCAUUGGUGUUAGGCGGCAAGAGGCAAGGUUAGCCACAGUUGAGGUCGAGGCCAGCCGAGCCAAUGCUGUUGUAGGGCCCUAAUUGGGUAUAGGCAGUUGGGUUGAUUGGGCCAGUGGAGGAUGGACCAGGCAGGGAGAGUCGGUUGUUUGCCUUAUUUUUUUAUUUGUAAACACAAACGUGGUUGUAUGCCUUAUAGUCUCGCUUAAUCGAAGCCGAAAAUUGUGGCGCGUUCGAUAGUAAUAGUAGAAAAAGUGAAAUAAAAAAUUUAUUUUAUUUUUGCGAAUUUUGUCAUCCAUCCCUAUGUAAUGUAUAAGGCCAUGGAUUCUUUACUCCCACUUUUGUGUGGGAGUAUGAUUAACCUACAGUAAAAUAAUUACAAAAUAUAUCCCGUUUUUUUUUUUUUGAAAAAUUUACUAAUUAGAUUUUGAUCCCUCAAAUUAUUGGUUUUUAAUUUUGACUCCUUUCCCUUCUUUGGUACGAAAAACUGAGAGAUUACUGAUUUUUGAAGAGCAUCAACCAGGUUGAAGCCUUUCUCUCCUUCCCUAACUCUGCCCUCACUCUCCACCCUCCUUAGAGUUCUUGAAAAACCCUAAUUUUGCCAUCCCCGUUCUUUUUCUUAUUUCAGAUUCAGGGGCAUUUCAGAGAAGAGAAGUAGUUAGGGUUUUCAGACAACUGCAAUCCCUGCCAUUCUCAUACCCUUCCUCUGCUGCAAAUUUCCACCACCUACUUCCGCCGACGCGCCACGCCUCCGCCGCCGCCGCACCCUGCCUCCGCCUCGCCCCGCUUCCGCCUCGCCCUGCUUCCGCCGCCGCACCACGCCUCCCACGCUCAAUAAGACAAGAGGUUUCUGCGGCCCUAAAUCGCUCAUCUGGUUCAUCAGGUAUACAUCUUGAUUUCAUAUUCCGAAUCUUAAAUGUGUUGUAUAUUAGGUAUGUUUUCAACAAUUUGUUAAUAUAAGAGAUUUAUUUUAAUGUUUAUAGACGGUUCAAUACUCGGUGGAACAUGCUGAGAAGUUUGAGAAAUUUGGCAUGUCGCCUUCCAAAGGUGUUCUUUUCUUUGGCCCUCCGGGCUGCGGCAAAACCCUGUUUACAAAAGCAAUUGCAAAUGAAUUCCAGGCCAACUUCAUAAGCGUCAGGGACCUGCAUUACUUCUGCAGUUGGCCUGGCAUUCCAAAAUCCACACGGUCCAAAAUUCAUAAAUGGACCGAGUCAUUUGUUGUCCUGGGAAAAAAGAAGUCUCAGCUAAAAAAUCCCAAAAUACUUUUUCAUAGUCAUAUUGCUUUAAGGUCCUUACCCUUUUCCAUACCAUUGGUGACAGGACAAAAGAGAUCAGAUUAGGAAUUUGGAAGUUGAAGUAUGGCAUGAUCUCUCUUAUGUAUACAUCAGCCUUUCACAGUGGCGUGACGCAGAGGCCUGCCUUUUCAAAAUCUCGGGCCAUCAAACUAUACUCUUCUACUAGAUGUCAUGCAAUAGGGUAAUAUAGUAACAAAAGCUUAUUUGGGACAAGGAUUCUGAACUUGGGAAGGAUAAUAUUUAUGCAGAUGAUGCCACUUUCAUUGUCUUGUAAUGGUCGAAUUGCUUAUUAAUAUACAGAUCAAACCUGUUCUCACUUCUCAUUUCACUUUUAUAUAUAUUGCACUCACCUUCUCUAUUUUUUAAUAAGAAAAUAGAAACACAUUUUCUUCUCUAUAUAUAUCAUCGUUAUUUACAGAAAUAAAAUAUAUAGGUUAUGAAUAAUUUAUAUUAACCAAUAAAGUAAAGGAAAUUAGUAAUAUAGAAUUGUAAUAUAUAGAAAGAUAAAUUAGUGUAAAAACUAAUGAAACAUAGCUUAGUAAUUUGUCUUUCAAAAAAAAUAUUAAAAAUAUCUAAAAAGAUAAUUCCUCAUUUCUAAAUGUCUUCAUGCUCUACUUCCACCUUGGUCCUAUAUUGCCAAGCAUUUUCUUCUAUUACGAGACACAAAUCGUUGUACUCCUCUAAAACCAGAUCCACGGCAAGUCUCAUUCGUGUGGAGUCGUUAAUCUGCUUAGAGCACCAACAAUAUAAUUCUAAUUAGAAGUGUGUUGAAAAAAUUAUGUUAAAAAUAUUUUGUUAUAAAUAUGACCUGAAUAUUGAAGUUAUCUGGUAAAGUACAUUCUCUCAUCCAACUGGUCACCCAAAUUCCGCUAUCAUUCUUAAGAUAUAAAGCAUUCCACAAAUAGUUAUUAUAUCCAUAUAAGAUAUAAACUAUUGAACGUAAUGAUAUUUAAAAGAAAAAAUUAUAUAAUAGACUUACGAUCUAUUUUUUUGAGUGGGUAGGCCAAAAGGUGUGAUAGGCCAAAAGGUGGAGCAAUCUAUAACUUUAGACUUAUCAUCAUUAAAAAUAUGAUCAUCUAACAUCGCUUCUAAAUAAGUUGCCUGUACAAGAGUAAAUUCAUGACACAAAAAAAAGUGAAUUGUAAAUGAGUUAAAUUGACUAAGAGUACUAGUUACAGCAAAUGGUUAUUUAAAUUGUUAAGUUGUUAAGUGAUUCUAAAUCAUUGAGUACUGAUUUAGAACAAAUAAUUACCACUUUAAUUGCGUUCCUUUUGCGUUGUUGAUGUUUUUCGACAGAAGGCAGUGAAUCCAAUAUGAUUAGGCGACGACUCGUAAAGUCAACAAUAACCAAAUACCAAUGUAGUUCCUCACAGAUAGGGAUAAACACCUGCGAUAAACCUUAAACCAUUAUAAACACUAAAAAUAGAUAAUAGUACAUUAAUGGAAAACAAAUUGGUCACUCGUACCCUAAUGACGUGGCUAAUUUUCAGUGACAUAUAUGCUCCAAGGAAAUCAAAGAUAACCUCUGCCGGUAUAUAUUUGUCGCUUAAAGCAUAUCGCUGCAUACAAAUAAAUAUUGUUAAAUGAAAAUAUGCUUUCAAUUUAACAACUAUUUUUGAACUGCUAAUUUAAUAAUACACUUUACCGUGUGAGUACAUAGCAUGGGUUAGUCUAGAAAAAAGAACUUCUUUUAAAUUAGUAUAUCCAAUCAAACUAUUAGACCAAAAUAUUAACUAAGAAUUUCUUUAUAUUAUAGGGAUAACUUUACUGCAAAAUGUGUAGGCAUGAACCAGCAAAUUGGAUCUUCAUUCCUACGUCGAAAUAUACGUGUCAUCAUAAGUGCCACUAGGUUUAUAACCUACAAUAUGUUACAAUUAUAUGUAAAACAUGUUUAUUGGUAAAUAGGGGCUUAAAAAUAUAAUUACAAGAAAAAGAAUAAUAUGCAUUUACUCGUGAUUCGACACAUCUCUCUGGGACAAGACAUCUAAAUGUACUUCUGUAACCCUUUUCAUCUGAGAUUACCAACUCUUCAGAACUGCCAAAUUCAUAAAGUGGUUAGCUGGGAGAAGCAUAGAAUCUUUAUACCAUUACAUUAUACACAUAAUCAUUAACCACACGUACGGAUCUAACGUAUCCGAAAAAAUAUAGACUGCAACAACUACUUGAGAUUCGUUUAACAUCAUCGAAGCAGUAGGCUCAAAUGCAACAAGUGUCCACCACUGAAGAUGAAAAAAAUAGUUUCAAGGUUACACUAAAAAAUAAAGAAAAAAGAAUAAAUAAACGAAAGAAGAAAAAAAUUAAAGUUACCUUUGGGAGUACAGCUCCUACUCUAACAUGUGAUUGUCCAUUAGGUGGAGUUGUAGCUUCACAAGUAAUAUCCAAGUGGAAUAACUUCUUGGGUUGAAUUGGCAUAAUACCAGUAAGAUCACUAGUUUUUGUACUUUCCCAAGAAUGCACAACUACAGUAGGAUCCAACAUGGAACUACUAUUUGUGGAAGUUUUCUGUUGUCCCAUGAUCAAAUCAAUUUUUUGGUGUAGAACAUGAAUGACCGAUUCUAAAUUUUCUAUCCUUUUUGUUAUAUCGUUAAACAUACUCUUGAACUGCAUAUUUUUCGGUGGAGCCAUCUUCUACUACUCACUCAGAUAGUAGUAUUUUGUCUUGUACGGUAUCAUAUAACCCCUUAGGAUGAAUAUAUAGCAAAUUCGGUUAUAAAAGAUAAGAUAAGAUAAAAAUAAUACAAAUUUUAAGAUAUUUUAUUUUUAUCAUUUUUUUUAAAAGUUAUCUAAUUAGAGUAAGAAGAUAAGAAGUUAAGAAUAAUAAGAUUGCAUAAAAAAAUCUAAUAUUAUCUUUUUCAAAAAGAUAAUAUUAGAAUUAUAAAACAAGAAUUUAUUAUUAAUUUAAUACAAGAUAAAGGCUGGGUAAUGUAUGCCGUGGAAACUAUUUUAAUUUUGGGUAUAUAUUUUUUUUUAUUUAAAGUAUAAUGACAAUUUUUUGUUAUCAAAUUUAAUUUUAAAUUUUAAAAGAGAAUUAGUUGUGUGAAACAUAAUCUUAUUCAUAUAUGUAAACGCUCAAGCAUAGAACACUAUUAACUUUCUCUACUAAAACUAAAAUUACAAUCUAAUAGAGCAAUGGAAGAAAAAGUAGUAGACGAUCACAUUGGAUCCUCUUCGAUGAAAAUUAUUGAAAAUUCUCCGUUGAAACAAAUACUACAUGCCAUAGAGGUAAUAUAUCCAACUCAUGAUAAUAUUGCAAUGUUAUUUAUAUAUACCAAUGCUAAUUUUCUAUUUUAUAAUGUAGUCUUUAUCCAAGAGAGUUGAUGAGAUGGAGAAGGCAAUGUGGAUGGCGAAGAAGUCACUUGAUAAAUUAACCGCCCCUCAAUGUAAAACUGAUGAGACGCAUGAGAAAUUCGACAAUACGGACCUAUAUGAGAUGAAGAAUAAACCCUGUGAUGAUGUAACGAAGAAAAACUCUAGCCCGUUGCAAGUAAAGUCCGAAAAUUGUGUGUUCACGGAUUUAUCCGACAAGAAUAAGGACGUUGAGAUUUUGCACAAUCUGCCAUCAUCGUUCUACAAAGGCAUGCAAACAUGCCUGGAUGGAGAAGAAAAAUCGAAGCCAAAGUCAAGAUUCGGUAUUCAUAGAAAUAGCAAAACUAAUAAAACUGUGCAAGAACUUCCGAGUACGUUUCUAAGGCAAAAGGACAAAUUGGCAAGGUUUAAUAAUCCACCAUCUAUCCAAAAUAUGGCGUUUGCACGACUAGCUAAAAUGCCAAAAAUUGAGCACAAAGGUCAACUAUCAAGCAAGAUGGCGGAAACUAGAGUACGCAAAGGGUCUUUAACUUUCACCAUAGACAAAGAACGGUUAACGACCGCUGCGAAACAAAAAAAAAUGGCUUUCAAGAACACUUCUAUCCCAAAGGUAUUUGGUUUAGUUAAAAAAAAUUAUUGGCAUAAUAUUCAAAUACGUAUAUUUUGGAUAACUUUUACGUUUUGUGCAGAAUCUUAACUGUUCAUUCAAACCACCACAAGAUAUGAGGUUGAGUGAGGAUUUGGUCAACAUGGCUAUGUACAUCUUUGCUGCUGAUAAUGAUAUAGCGUGAGCAUUUUUUUUAAUCUUUUAUUUUUAAUUUUAGUUCUCUCUGUUGAUAACGUGUUGGCUUUGUGUUAGAGAGGAUUUGGUUCAUAUUCACGAUACAACUGCAACUAGAGAAGAUCUGUUCUGUCUCGUACCUGGAAAGCAAGUGUCUGAACUGGUAAUAAAGCUGAUGGCAUUGAAGAUAACAUCAAAUAUUAGCAUGACCAAAUUAAAAAAUGUUUGGUCCCUUCCACCAUCAUUUGCGGUAAGUCAAAAUCUUGAUUUUCUGGAUAUUAACUAAGUAAAAUAAAUAACCAUUGUGCUCAAACAUUCCCAGGAUGACGUUACGUUACAUAUGGAAGAUCAUGACCUACUAGAAAAAUAUGCACAUUAUAUGCCACUAACCCGUGACCUUCAAUUUGUAAGUUCUCAUUAAUUAUUGGAAUAUUUUUAUUAUAAUAAAAAGUACUCAAACUUGUACUUAUACAUAUUACAUCGUAUUUGUUAUACAGAUAUAUGUCCCAAUCAAGGAUAAUGAUCACUGGUAUCUAAUGGUAAUGAGCAUCUCUGACAAAAUACUUUAUCAUUUAGACUCUCACUGUAAGGUUGAAAAUGAUGAACCACGCAAGCAUCAUAUUAGAAAUAUAGUAAGUUCUCCUACUAUAGAAACAAAGUUAAUAAUAACAUUACCUCGAAUAAUAAAGCACACUAUUCUUAUUACAGGGAGUGGCUCUUUCUGAGAUAAUAUUUUCAGAGAAGUAUGCAAAAUGUGGUAUACAAGAAAUAGUGAGUUUUGAGGGUUGGGAAGUUCGUAAAGCAAUAGGUAUUCCUAGGUGCUCAAAUAGGUAAUUAUUCAAAUUGUUGGUUAUUUAAUUUAAUAUUAUAUAUAUACUUAUUUCGACUUCCUUAUGUUGUUCUGCAUGAUACAUUUUCACACAGCAAUGAUUCAGCUGUAUGGGUUAUGCAGUGGAUGGAUUUGCAACAGGAAUUCACUCAUGUGGUCCCUCCAAAGGUAACUUUUAACAUAGACAAUUUCCCUCUUUAAUUACACUAAUACAUGUGUUAACGUUUGGUAAAAUAAAUUACAGCUGCAUGAAGAAAGGAGUAGAAUGUAUUUAGCAUUGGAUUUCGUCACCGGAGAUUGGAAUAAGAUACGGUCAGAUGUUAACGAGAGGUUUCAAUUAUGGUGGCUUAUGAUACACCCAUAACAUCUUUAUUUAAAUUGAAAAGAAUUAUUUAAAAUUUUGGGGUUCUGGGUCUUUAAUGCUGCUUAGAUGUAUAUUUCAUAUAAUAUUAUAUUAUAUGAACUAUUAUUUUAAAGUUAUAUCAGUGUUGUCCACUUGUUUGAUCCUAAUUAUACAAUACCUUAUAAAAACUUUUUGAAAUGUUAAAAUUGCAUUAAGUUAAUACCAAAACAAAAGAUUACAUGAAAUCAAUUAAAAUACUCAAAAAAAAAAAAUAUUACAUCACUCUCCGAAAUUACCCAUUUAAGUCCCCCAGUUACCCAUCCUAAGUUGGCUACCUUAAGAAUCAGCAGUUGAAAAAAGGUAAAUGUUCAAAAGGGUCAAUUCAACAGUGAUAAAAUUUUGAGUAUGGCUUCAAGGACGUAGCACCUGUUGAAAGAUGAACACGAGGAACUCGGAAGUAGCAGUAUACAUGACUUUGUAUAGUUCUUCUAUUUUGUUUUCUUCUCUUUCUCAGUGACCCUUGGUUUUUGGUAGAACAAUAUCUGGCUUAGGAGUGUGAAAUUUGUAGCAACACUAAUUGCGGAACCCAUUACAACUUCAAAAGAAUUAAGGAAACAGUCACAAAUACAUAAUUAAGAUACGAAUGCAGUACUACUAAAGAGUUAAAUUAAAAGACCACCAAAAACAUAAAUAUUGAAAUGAAUUUGUUCUAAUGUAACACGGUAAAAACUUCAUAUGUUCGUUUGAUAAAAUAACACGAACAGUAUAAAAAUUGCUUUGAUGGAAGUAACAAUAAUAAUGACAGAAAAAUUGAUUAGUGGGGAUGGAAAAAAUAAAGGAAGCAAGGAUACCGCUUUUUGGUGCAUUUUCUUGGAGGCUUGUGAAUACUCUAACUGCAACAUAUAUAAACAUAAACAUUAAUUUGCAAACAAAAACAAACUAUAAAGAAAAUUUUCAAAAUGACAUACUGGCUUACCCAUUGAACCUGCAGAAUUCAUCAAAGAAGUUAAGAAAUAAAUUAAAAAUUACACCAAUCCCAAAUCAACUAAAAAUUAGAGGAUACCAGAAAUUAAAGCAUUAACCAUACCUUAUUACAGCACCUCAUUGCUACUGUAGGAAGCACUCUCAUCAUAUACCUAUAAUAUCAGCAAUAUAAUAUUAUUAGUACUAGCUAAUAAGCAGCAAAUAAAACUUUGUCAUACCUCAUUGGUAAAGAUACUUACCAAUGAGUCAUCUUCAAUGUUCAUGUGGUCAUCCGAGUCAUUAUCAAAUGUGUCAUUUCCAAGGCCUUCUGACUGUGAGAUGCCACGACGAACAUGACAAGUUGUUCGAUUGUGGCCCUCCAUGCCACACUGUCCACAUCGAUGUUUUCUUUUAUUGGACUGUGAAGCCCCCCUUUUUGUCUUACAUUUUCUUGGGUCCCUUGGCAUGCUAUGUCCGAGAUCAUUGGUUGCGAGCCCAGCUCCAGAAGCAUCCACUUGCACACCAUCUCUUACAUUAUCUGCAUCAUUGACCCCCCCUUUUUGUGCAGCAUAUUCCUCCUUAAAUUGUUUCAACAAAUUCAUAGCCAUUUCCUGUGUAAAGAUAAAUCUCUCGUUAUCUCGGCAAGCAAAGUUGGCUAGUUGUCUAAACCAAUCCAUCAAACAACCGUACUGACUUAGCAUCAAAGAAUCCCAAUGAAGCCCGACCGCAUUUUGCAAACCCACUUUGGCAGUCUUGGUCCACCGAGGCAACACUAAUGACCUUGGCAACUCCUCUAUAUCUUCAUGCACCAAGACGCAAACUAUGUGUUCACAAGGUAUGCCUAGCGAUUCCAUUCUCAUACAUGAACAAUUGAAUUCCAUCUCAAUGUCACAACAGAAUACACGCCACAUCUCAUUUGGCGUUUGGUCCAAACCGACAGAGUAAAUCACAUAAGAGCCAGUUUGCCUCAUAUUUAUUACCUUCAUUGAUGCAGCCCGUACAAGGAUUGGUUGGAACAUAUGAAAUAUUGAUAGGGUGUAAACAUUGGCAGCACUCCUCUCUAACUGUUGAAAAUAGGUUUGCAUACUGGGUCUCCCAUUCACAGAGGCGAGGUCAUCCUGGACCUCUUUCCACCUUAUAUGGUCGACACAACGAUUAAAGUGUUGAAUGAACUCAACCAGAUUGUACCUUGAGUUGACAUACUUUGCAAUGAUCGAGUUUAAUCCCUCGCACCGAGAAGUAGUCCGAAAACCAGCAAAAAACUUCCCUCUUAUAUGUGCAGUUGCCCAUGAAUGUCUCUUUUUAUACAUAUCUAGGACCCAAUUCUUGUUUUUGACACUAAAUCCCUCAACCAUUUCAAAACACUUUUGACGAAAUACAUCAAUUUCAUAGUCGCCUAGCAUACACUUUUUAAACAUGGAGGUAAACUGGGGCUUGCCAAUGUUACUUGUUACUUGUUGCAUCAGAUGCCAUGCACAUAAUCUAUGAUGUGCAUUAGGAAACUCUUUCUCAAUGGCGAACUUCAUUGAUAGAUCACCAUCCACCAUCACCGAAACAGGUGCUUUCCCAUUCAUUGCUACCUUCAGUUGUUGUAGCAACCACCUGUAUGUGUCUUUUUCCUCAUCGCAAAUUAAAGCAGCAGCAAAGAUAAUUGUUUGAUUAUGAUGAUUGACACCAGAAAAUACCACCAGUGGACACAUAUUUAUUUUUCUUAUAGGUAUCAUCAAAAGCCAUCACGUCGCCAAAUAAUGAGUAGUCUGCCCUGAGACCAUCGCACCAGAAUAAAUUGCACAAAGUACCAUCGGCAUCCAUGUGAUGAUUAUAAUAGAGAGAAGGGUCAUUUGUUGCUUGAUCUUCUAGAUACUUCAAAGCUGCAUAUGCAUCACCGGGUAAUUGGCGCCUCUGCUUUGCUAUUUUAUUGUACAUGUCCCUUUGCGUGAAAGAGAGAUACUCGUAGCCACCUGCCUGAUUUGCUAAUGCCCGAUAUAUCUGCCCAACACUAAUCCCACCCUUUUUCAUGUUAACCAUGUGGCCAAUAUCAGCCUCGGACAUGAAUCUAUGCCCAGGGAGCAAUCCAGUCAACCAAGGAUCCAAAAGCGGAUGAUUGUGUUCAUCAGAAAAAUAAGAAAUAAACCAAUGACCACUAGGUGCAUCUACAUGAAUCUCCAUCAUUGCACUGCAGCCACACCUUGUCUCUGGCAUGGGUUUCUUCUUACAUUUUUCAAUGUCAUAAUUAUUUUGUGGUCUAAAUCCUUCGCGAUGACAUACAAAGUUUUUCAACUUAAGUAUGCCCGCAAGACUUUUCUUAGUCUUGUUCUUCUGAGCACUAAAGCCUCUUGUCCUUGCAUAUCUAUUGUAGAACUCAAAUGCAAUGUCGACAUCAGAAAAGUGAAAAUGACAUACAUCUUCAUCCCUGAUGUUCCAAAAUUCAAUCAUCUCAAUGUCUUCGAGUGAGUCAAUGUUAGACCCUUCAUCGAAGUCGUGAUAAUCGAACAUUGGUUCCACAUUUGUGUCAUCCUCAUCCAUAUAAUCCACGUCAACUUCCUCAUNNNNNNNNNNNNNNNNNNNNNNNNNNNNNNNNNNNNNNNNNNNNNNNNNNNNNNNNNNNNNNNNNNNNNNNNNNNNNNNNNNNNNNNNNNNNNNNNNNNNNNNNNNNNNNNNNNNNNNNNNNNNNNNNNNNNNNNNNNNNNNNNNNNNNNNNNNNNNNNNNNNNNNNNNNNNNNNNNNNNNNNNNNNNNNNNNNNNNNNNNNNNNNNNNNNNNNNNNNNNNNNNNNNNNNNNNNNNNNNNNNNNNNNNNNNNNNNNNNNNNNNNNNNNNNNNNNNNNNNNNNNNNNNNNNNNNNNNNNNNNNNNNNNNNNNNNNNNNNNNNNNNNNNNNNNNNNNNNNNNNNNNNNNNNNNNNNNNNNNNNNNNNNNNNNNNNNNNNNNNNNNNNNNNNNNNNNNNNNNNNNNNNNNNNNNNNNNNNNNNNNNNNNNNNNNNNNNNNNNNNNNNNNNNNNNNNNNNNNNNNNNNNNNNNNNNNNNNNNNNNNNNNNNNNNNNNNNNNNNNNNNNNNNNNNNNNNNNNNNNNNNNNNNNNNNNNNNNNNNNNNNNNNNNNNNNNNNNNNNNNNNNNNNNNNNNNNNNNNNNNNNNNNNNNNNNNNNNNNNNNNNNNNNNNNNNNNNNNNNNNNNNNNNNNNNNNNNNNNNNNNNNNNNNNNNNNNNNNNNNNNNNNNNNNNNNNNNNNNNNNNNNNNNNNNNNNNNNNNNNNNNNNNNNNNNNNNNNNNNNNNNNNNNNNNNNNNNNNNNNNNNNNNNNNNNNNNNNNNNNNNNNNNNNNNNNNNNNNNNNNNNNNNNNNNNNNNNNNNNNNNNNNNNNNNNNNNNNNNAGAUAAAUCUCUCGUUAUCUUGGCAAGCAAAGUUGGCUAGUUGUCUAAACCAAUCCAUCAAACAACCGUAUUGACUUAGCAUCAAAGAAUCCCAAUGAAGCCCGACCGCAUUUUGCAAACCUACUUUGGCAGUCUUGGUCCACCGAGGCAAGACUAAUGACCUUGGCAACUCCUCUAUAUCUUCAUGCACCAAGACGCAAACUAUGUGUUCACAAGGUAUGCCAAAUGAUUCCAUUCUCAUACAUGAACAAUUGAAUUCCAUCUCAAUGUCACAACAGAAUACACGCCACAUCUCAUUUGGCGUUUGGUCCAAACCGACAGAGUAAAUCACAUAAGAGCCAGUUUGCCUCAUAUUUAUUACCUUCAUUGAUGCAGCCCGUACAAGGAUUGGUUGGAACAUAUGAAAUAUUGAUAGGGUGUAAACAUUGGCAGCACUCCUCUCUAACUGUUGAAAAUAGGUUUGCAUACUGGGUCUCCCAUUCACAGAGGCGAGGUCAGCCUGGACCUCUUUCCACCUUAUAUGGUUGACACAACGAUUAAAGUGUUGAAUGAACUCAACCAGAUUGUACCUUGAGUUGACAUACUUUGCAAUGAUCGAGUUUAAUCCCUCGCACCGAGAAGUAGUCCGAAAACCAGCAAAAAACUUCCCUCUUAUAUGUGCAGUUGCCCAUGAAUGUCUCUUUUUAUACAUAUCUAGGACCCAAUUCUUUUUUUCGACGCCAAAUCCCUCAACCAUUUCAAACCACUUUUGACGAAAUACAUCAAUUUCAUAGUCGCCUAGCAUACACUUUCUAAACAUGGAUGUAAACUGGGGCUUGCCAAUGUUACUUGUUGCGUUGCGAAUCAGAUGCCAUGCACAUAAUCUAUGAUGUGCAUUAGGAAACUCUUUCUCAAUGGCGAACUUCAUUGAUAGAUCACCAUCCGUGAUCACCGAAACAGGUGCUUUCCCAUUCAUUGCCACUUUCAGUUGUUGUAGCAACCACCUAUAUGUGUCUUUUUUCUCAUCGCAAAUUAAAGCAGCAGCAAAGAUAAUUGUUUGAUUGUGAUGAUUGACACCAGAAAAUACCACCAAUGGACACAUAUAUUUAUUCCUUUUAUAGGUAGUAUCAAAAGCCAGCACAUCGCCAAAUAAUGAGUAAUCUGCCAUACUGAGACCAUCGCACCAGAAUAAAUUGCGCAAGGUACCAUCGGCAUCCAUGUGAUGAUUAAAAUAGAGAGAAGGGUCAUUUGUUGCUUGAUCUUCUAGAUACUUCAAAGCUGCAUAUGCAUCACCUGGUAAUUGGCGCCUCUGCUUUGCUAUUUUAUUGUACAUGUCCCUUUGCGUGAAAGAGAGAUACUCGUAGCCACCUGCCUGAUUUGCUAAUGCCUGAUAUAUCUGCCCAAUACUAAUCCCACCCUUUUUCAUGUUAACCAUGUGGCCAAUAUCAGCCUCGGACAUGAAUCUAUGCCCAGGGAGCAAUCCAGUCAACCGAGGAUCCAGAGUCCUUUCAUUCAAACUGUAAAAUCUGCAUAUGUUUUAAGUUUUCAAACUUGUAUCAUGUCAUUAAGAUAGAAGGCCAGAGGACCAUUUUGUGACACAUGAUUUCCUCUAUAAGCAUACGUAUGGAUUUAGAUAGCUUGUUUGUAGCUAUACAUUUUAAGAAUAUUGGGCCAAGUUGAAUGAAUAAUACAAAACAAUGGUGAGGUCAAUUUUACAUUAAUCUACAUAUAUGCUUACAAAUUACAAGAACAUAAGAAAAACACCUACUUGUAACAUAGGAUGGUAUUGAAGUCACAAGAUAUGGAAGCUGUGAUAUGUUUAAGAACUAAUAACCAGAGCAGAAAUGAACUAGAUAUGUCACAUAUAUGGUAUACAAUAAAUCAAGUGCUACUUCAUCCUAACCUUUUGAUGUUAUCAAAUAGUGAUCUGCUAGAGUGAAGACUCAAAGAAUCCAGAUGAAGUAUGAUUGGCCCUGAUUCAUCACCUUUAUCCGGGAUACAAAUAAUGAUCAAGCUCUAAUUAAGACUGAAUACAUGAAACAUUACAAGAAAAAAAAAUCCAAAAAUGAGAGAAUAGACAAGAGAGAUUAAAAUGUAACAAUAAAAAUGACCCUGCUGCCAAUAUAAAAUUGAGCAUGAAGUGCAUUCAUAGGAGCACAGAAAACAUAACUAUAAAAAUUUACAGUUAAAUAACCCAUUCUUCAUUUGUUUUUUCUUACCAGUUUUUCUUCUCCCACUAUUUCUUCUAAUAUGGAAAACUCAUAAGGCAGAAGAGACUUAAAAUAUAUCAAAGAAAAAAACUUUUUCAAAAAUGGAAUUAAGAGUCUGACAAUUUUAAAUAGCCAUAUAUUACUUUCUUCUUCCUGUAACGAAAAAUACCCAUUCCCAUUACAAACUUAACCAAACCUAACCUUGGACAAAGAAACCACAAACGAAUUACUUGAACAGAUGAAAAAUCAGUACAAAUUUUGAAAAAUAAUAUUCAUCAUUUAGAAGGUAUUAAAGAAUAAAACAUGCAUGCACGCACACGCACACAUUCACAUCUUACACUAAAGUCUAAACUGGGAUAAAAGUGAUAAUAUUAAAAUUUAAAACACUCAUGGAAGAGAAAGCUGUCGAAACUAUUCCAUUUGAUUGACCAACAAAUUCAAUGUGGUUAGAAUAUGGGGGAAUUUAGGACAACUUUCACAAACCAAAGAAAUUUCAAUUAUAAGAUAGCAUUAACAGCUUUCACUAACCAAUUACUAGAACAUGUGAACCAGAAAAAAGGGAUAAUAAACAAAAAUUCAGUAUCAGCAUAGGAACUGAGCAGGAAAGACAUCAACAUCUUGUCAAAUGAGGAAUGACUAGCAUUUUUUUUAAGGAUAAGACAUGAAAACAAUGACAUGCAGCCCAAUAGGGUAAUAUAGUAACAAAAGCAAUUUAAAAUUUACCAAUUGCCCCAAUUUUGUGCUCCCGACAGAUAUCUAUCAGAUCUUUCAUGAAAUUGAGUAUUGACAACCUCAGAUAUCUGUCACCCAUCACAGGAGGCAAAUGAUGAGAAAGCUUGAUUAGAUAAUAAUAAUAAUAAACUUAUAAAAAAACUCUAAGUAGAUUUAAGUAGUGUACUUGCAAACAAUAAUGAUAUCUAAUUAAAGCCAAUGUAUUUAGAUUUAGAGUAAAAGGAGAAAUUCCGGUUAAGGUAAACCACUGUGAGCACAAUUUCUAAUUUGUAUGACCAUCCAACUCAUUUUACUAAAAAAGCAAUGUAUGAUCUCCCAUCCAAUUGACUGGCUAUGAUCUUUCUUUUUCCCUUUCAACAAAAAACUUAGUCCAUGCUUCAAUUUUGGACUGUUUGAAAUUUUUUGUUGGUUUUUUCAUAUCAUUUCUAUGAUCUCCAACCAUUAAUUAACAAAGCAACACCAUUUCUAAGAUCCUUCAACCUUUUUAGCUGAGACUUCUUUUUUCCCAGGACAACAAAUGACUCGGUCCAUUUAUGAAUUUUGGACCGUGUGGAUUUUGGAAUGCCAGGCCAACUAUAGAAGCAAUGCAGGUCCCUGACGCUUAUGAAGUUGGCCUGGAAUUCAUUUGUAAUUUCUUUUGUAAACAAGGUUUUGCCGCAGCCCGGAGGGCCAAAGAAAAGAACACCUUUGGAAGGCGACAUGCCAAAUUUCUCAAACUUCUCAGCAUGUUCCACCGGGUAUUGAACCGUCUAUAAACAGUAAAAUAAAUCUCUUAUAUUAACAAAUUGUUGAAAACAUACCUAAUAUACAACACAUUUAAGAUUCGGAAUAUGAAAUCAAAAUGUAUACCUGAUGAACCAGAUGAGCGAUUUAGGGCCGCAGAAACCUCUUGUCUUAUUGAGCGUGGGAGGCGUGGCGCGGCGGCGGAAGCAGGGCGAGGCGGAGGCAGGGUGCGGCGGCGGCGGAGGCGUGGCGCGUCGGCGGAAGUAGGUGGUGGAAAUUUGCAGCAGAGGAAGGGUAUGAGAAUGGCAGGGAUUGCAGUUGUCUGAAAACCCUAACUGCUUCUCUUCUCUGAAAUACCCCUGAAUCUGAAAUAAGAAAAAGAACGGGGAUGGCAAAAUUAGGGUUUUUCAAGAACUCUAAGGAGGGUGGAGAGUGAGGGCAGAGUUAGGGAAGGAGAGAAAGGCUUCAACCUGGUUGAUGCUCUCCAAAAAUCAGUAAUCUCUCAGUUUCUCGUACCAAAGAAGGGAAAGGGGUCAAAAUUAAAAACCAAUAAUUUGAGGGGUCAAAAUCUAAUUAGUAAAUUUUUCAAAAAAAAAAAAACGGGGUACAUUUUGUAAUUAUUUUACUGUAGGUUAAUCAUACUCCCACAUAAAAGUGGGAGUAAGGAAUCCAUGGCCAAUGUAUAAUAUUGUCUUUUUGUUAUGGACUUUUUAGUAGUCGUAUAUUAUAUUAAAUUUUCAAUCAUUUUUACUAAUACAAAUUUUUUUAUGAAAACUUUUUUCUGUUAUUUUUUAUUUGAUUAUGUAUAAUUUUUUAUUGGAUUUUGUAUAAAUUUUAUUUUGAGUUCUUGAAUUAAAGUGUACUUUAAUUUGUUUAUCGUUCUUAAAUUUUUAUGAUAUGAAUUAUUGAAUCCUUCAAAAAUACCAAAUUAAAUAAAAAGUAAAGUACUAAAAAAUGAGUACUGAACAAAAAAAAGAUUAAAAGUAUUAAAUUUCAGGACAUAAGUUUAAGUUUUUUUAAGAAAAAAGUAUAGUGAAAAGAGAGUUUUCACCUGAAAAAAUAUAAUGUGUAAUGGUUUUGGGGUAUAAUGUACUAUAAUUUGUUUCGAUCUUUUAUUCGCUAAGAAAGGAAAGAUAAAAUUUAGGUAACAUUGAUAUGAUACGGGUUUAGUAAGUUUCAUUUUAUAAGUUAGACACCAUGCUAAUGAUUUUUUGUUUAUUAGUUUACGAGUAAGCGAAUCGUUGACUCUUCUUUUGGAUUCUACCAGCAAGCAGGAAGAUGGGAAGUAGUGGAUAGUUUAGGGCCCUUUAGGGCUUACUUGGUUACAGAUCACAUAUGUUUUCGUACAAUGGUUUAGUCGAAAAUGAAAGUAAAGACUGAUGAAGAAGGCAUAAGUAAUAAGAGAGAGUAUGGUUAAAAUGGUAGUGAGAAGAAAGCUGGAACGUGAUGGAUGAUGGAUGCAAAGUUACCAGCUGGCGGCCACGUCGACUAGUCGAUCCGGCACGGGAACCCCUACCUCGGCUUCCCUGCCCUUGCGAGUAAAACCUCUCUUCAAGGGCGUCAUUGCAGUCGGUGAGAUGCUUGACCCUAGCUUCCAAAGUGGUAAUUUGGCUUGCAACGUGUAUGUAUUUGGCCCUCCAUUCGUCGACAAUGUCAUAGUUAUAAUCGUGAACGUAGGUAUACAACAUAUAACAGAGUUGUCUGAUGCAAAGCCGGGCAGCAUCCUCCCAACUUAUAGUCGGAUCAAAAGCGAUCCGGCUAGCCACGACGAACGGCUCAUAGGAUGGUGGGGGAACGAUAGAGACGAUGUGACAGUAGCAUCUACGUCCAUCAUGGUAUGUCUGCAUUAGGCACCUGUAAAUGGGGUUCGGUAUGUCAAGUUUCUCGCAAGCUUUGUCGAGCCAGGAUCUGAUCCCGGUGUGUAUUAGAGGAUCCUUAAGCAGCUUGUCCGGAACAACUGCAUGACAUGUGUAGAGGAGGAGGCGCUAGGUUAUACGUUAACGAGAAAAACAAGAAAUAACAUGUGUCUGGAUUUGAGUAUGUUGAUGAUAAAAUAGCAAUGCACUACUUAUGUUCCGUAGGUUGUGGGUUGACCAUCUCCUCUUGAUUGUACCUAGCCUGUAGGGCUCUCAAGGCGUUCUUUUCUUUUUCAUGCCGAUCAUCUGGUUGUACGAGGUCCGGCGCCUCGCCGUUGGCAAUGCGCUUUUUCUCAAUAACCAUGUUCCCUCCUCCGAAGUAGACUAGCCAUGCGUCCAAAGCCUCUUCUAGAGUGUCGUGCCUCUGCCAGCUGCAGUACUGGUACUCAUGUAUUUGUUCAAGGAAGUCUUCAUGGGAGGUGUAUAUCCCAGGCACCCAUCCCUAGUAGACACAGUAAUAAUAUGGUGAAAUUCUAUCCUCCAUGUUUGAGUAGCUUGUGGUGGUUUGGGUGGUGUGGAGUGGCAAAUGUGAUGUGGUUUAUAUAUGCGUUUGGAGUGGAUGAAUGAGUUGGUCAAAGUGCCAAAGUUGAUAGGGGACUAAAACGGGUGCAACACUGAGUCUGGCAUGUACAGCUUUGCAGGGGAAUCCGAUUCCCCUAUCGCCAUGUUGGAACAGUUGAAUGAUUAGACUAAAGGGCAUUGAGUUUUAGGAAGUAUUGGUUGGAAGGUUUAGGGUUUAGGGUUUAGAGAUUAGAAUUGAGAUUAGAGAACUGAAAAUUUAAUUAAUAAUUUUUUUAGAAGAAAUAUUUUUAUUUAAAUUUUUAAAUUUUAAAUUUAUAUUUUUAAUUUUUAUAUUUAUUUUAGAUUAAAACAAUACUUCCUAAAACUCAAUUUUUGAGGGCCUUGCACAUGAACGAGGAAGGGUUAAGUUGUUUAUGACGUGGUCUGAUUUUGAAUUACAGCAUGAUUAAUUGAGAAUGUCGUAGUAAGGAUUAGGAGGGAGUUGUUGAAGUAUGAAAUGGCAUUGCUUUAGGAUCAUGGGGACAGCAGUAAGGUUGUUGCCGCUCACUCAUUAAAGAGGACAUAGGAUUGUGUCUCCUUAGAGGAGUAAUUAAUGGUGGUAUUAUGGCUUUCGGCUGACAAGGUGAUAUUGAUUUUGUAAAGACAUUCAAUUUGGUGGCACCAAACUCACCUACUGAUGAUAUCGAUCUAUUCAUUGAUGAGGCGAGAUCAACUCAAGGAUCACCGGUGGGUCGAGUAUGGAGAGGUCUGCCGAAGGUAAUACUCUACAGUGGCCUUCGGGUAUAGCCAAGAAAACAAGCACUGGGUCAAAUAUGGCAAGGGCCUAUACUAACAUGCCAUCAGUGAUCUCUGAGGACAAGGUACGUAAAGAUUUCUUAACAAGUUUUCCCUGCCUUUUUAAUUCCAAUCGUUGAAACCUUCCUAGAGACAACAGCUUCCUUCAUGUUGCAUGCACAGGACCUUGUUAAUCUAGAGUCGUGGAGCCAGUUCGAAUCUACAACACAACUUUGUGGGUUGUUCAACUCUACACCGGUGACAGUGCCAGAAUUAGACCCAAAACCUGGGAGUUUCGUGAUGACCGGGGAUAGGACACUAGAAUUCAUGUGGAAAAAAAUGAAGGAGCUAAUGCCGGAGGUCACCAACAGGCCACCAUAUAGGAGACCCAUCAUCCGACAAACCACUCGCGGAAGAGGAAGCCGACACAACAACAAGGUGAUUUCGGCUGCUGCCCAGAUCCCUAAGGUACGUUUCUUUUCCUGCAUUGUUCUGUUAACACAUUUAUAGAAUAUACAAUCCUCAACUAUCUUCGUUCAUAUUCCCAUAUACUACAGUGGUUCGAGACACUGUUCAAACCAACACCUGGGAUGGGCCUUUCGCUGCAGUAGUGUAAGCUAGCAACUUACAUAUUCAAGAAGCCCAAGAAAGCUGAAGAAUACGAGUACUUUCUUCUAUCCUUGUAGCCUCUCUUCUGUGUGAAUUUUAAUUUAUCAUGUGUGCUUGGAAUAACUGAUAGUGUGAACACCUUUUAGGGAAGUUCUUUUUCAGUUUACAAAAUUCAACAUGCCAAGGGGAAUCUUCAUUUCCCUAUGUCCAAAGUACACCCCACACAUUGAUGUAAGUUUUGAUGAGGCUUGGCAUCGGUACAACAACUCAACAACCUCAUUCGGUGCAUUUAGUGGUUUGUAGUCUAGGUUGUGAGUCGUUUGUUCAGUAUCUGAUUCAACCUAUACUUUUUCAUGCAGGUUGUCAACACGAUGUGUCUCUUGGGGUCUUGGCAAUCUGUGAAGAGCAUGUCACCAGGAGCAUGGUUCUUGCCGUCCUUUUUUGCUGCAGAUGUACUGCAGGAUAAACCUAUAGCAGAAAUCAGAAGGAAGUAUGAGCGCAACUGGAUGCAUGAGACCAAUCGAUUAGAGCAUGUAAGGUUUAUUGUGGUUGUGGUUUUUUAUUUUGUAUGCUGGUGUCAUGUAAGUCAUUGUUUUUGUGCCGUGACUUUGCAGGUAUUCGUUCCCGUAUACGAACCCCCCUAUGCAUGGUACUUGAUGUUCUUGGACGUCAAAGACACAAAACUGUAUGCCUUAGAUGUUGACAGAAAGCCUCAGAGUAUGGAGCGCAGGGAGGCCAACAUGCGCUGCAUUGUAAGUGCAUAAACCCCACUACCUUUCUAUGAUUAUUGUAAUCGUUGCAUUACCUCUAAAGCAUGCACAAUCUGAUAAUACUUUAUUCCGAAUGAAUAUAUAGUGCCACCUUCUGGGCAAGCUCUUUGUGAUGGACAGGAACGUCAUGAGCUUCAUGCAUGCAGACCCAGAUCCUACAAUAUGGGGGAGCUUCAUCUAUCCUGAUACCAUACCAACUUCCUUGAGCAGGUGUGUUCAUGCAUUUUCAAAUUUAUUGUCAUUUACUCGCAUUACCUGCAGCAGCAGGUCGCAUCUGCAGAUAAGUAUAUUUCGUGUCGACACCUCCUAAUUUGUUUUCUACAGCCACCAGAGCGGAGUCUGGAUGUUACAUUGGUUGUAGUAAGAAGGCACUAUAUCGGGCAAGAUAAACUCACCCAUGGUAGGCGCCACCUCUGUAGACUUUCUUGAGAGUCAUAAAUUGUUAGUUACGCAUCAUGGGUUUUACUCGUCUCACUUUGAUGUCGUCUUGUUUCUUUCAGGUAGACAGUGACUCCGUGAGGAUGAAGAUUGCUACAAACAUAGUACGGUUUGAGAUGAAUGAGGUAGGGGGAUACAUUGACGUCAUGGCCGAAAGUCUUUGGAGCUCAUUGGUUGGCCCUGCUACCUCAGUACCCUGACGGCCAUGGCAUUGCUGGCGAGAAGUUUCGUGCCUUCAAAAUCAGAAAUGUCUUGCCAACCUUUUGAACCCUCCCACUUUUUUUGACCGUUGUAGUUUUUGUGUGGAAAUCCAUGUCCUUUUGUGAAAUAUUUGUCUACACAUGUGGAUUCUGUAAUGGAACUACAUUCAGAUACUCCAUUUGCUGCUAUGAAAUAUUUGUUAGUGCAUGUGGAUUAUCUGAUGUCAUUUAGGUGACCAUCAUGGCAUGCCUUUUGACUAGUUGAUAUAAGGCUGGGUCUGAAUGGUAUAUGAUAGCAACGUAGUAGUAAAGUCACAUUUUGGUUCCAGGGGUUAUUAGCGUGUAGCAUCACAAAUUUCUUUUGGCAUGUGUCAUCUGUGUAAAUUAGGUGGAAUACUUUUGUAAUAUGCCUUGUUUCAUUUCAGGUACAAUGUAUAUCAUCCAUCAACAUGGACGGUUGAUGUGUUUAUAUUACAAAAUAUAUAUUUACUCAAAUAUUUGAGGCUGCUGCUCUAAUGGCAUCUGCAUUACUAACUUUAUUGUCCCUAACAUGGUUACUGACCUUCUCGGAUUGAAACAGUGGUAAUUUUUGCUAGAGUGAGUCACUAAGUUGAAUUUAGUGGAAACUCACAAUGUGUGUACGACUAUAAUGGUUAUUGUCAAUGUGAUGGUUACGUUAAAUUCAGGAUAAGCUUUAUAUACUACUAAUUAAUAAAUGAAAAAUUACACAUGGUGUACAUACACCAAAUGAAUGAGAUUUCCUCGUGUUUCUAUUUCGAUUCAGUCUACAUUUCAUGGUUAAUCUGGCAAAAUAAAUUCAAGUUUCUCAUCAGAUUAUGAUUCAAGUAAACUUAUUUUUAAAUCAAAUUACAAGAAGUUCUAUCUUGACGUGAUAGUCUAUCAACUCUAAUUACCAAUUUGCCAUGAUGAUGACGGUCCAAAAUGCAUCACUGAUGUGUAACUCAUCACAUUAAUUAAACUGGAUCAGGUCUAAUCAUACCACAGUUAAUAUAGUUAACAUGCUUGCGACAAUUACUAGUAAAAGAGCAGAUAGAAAAUUGAUGGCAGUUUGGUUUGAGAUCUUCAGACUCACUGAUGAGAAAAUAGAUGAAAUGGGUCACAAGGAACCAAUAAUAGAAGUAGCGAUAAAAUCAAAUCAAGGAAAUCAACAUUUAUAUUAAUAGAAACAACAAAUAAUGAAAAAGGAAAAAUACUGCCACAUUUUCAUUUUUCUAUCAUUUCUAGUUUUCUUCCUAGGUUAUCUAUUAUCUGCAGGGUAUUGCUUUUUAAUCAAUAGGUUGCGCAUUGCUCUUUUGACAACUUCAGCUGCAGCCAAGAAAGCACUCUCAUCAACAGAAGCACUUCCUUGCAAAGUUUCUAGCAGCUUCUCUCUGCCAGGUAUCUCAUCGUUUCCCAAAACUACGAUUAUAACUUUUAUUCAUGCGUCCAUGCUUUUUUGUUCUUGACUAGCGACAGGUUUCGCGACCAAAAUAACAAUUCAACUAAGCUAAUAAGAUACAGUACUUUAUUUUGGUGUAUACUAAUAAGUAGCUAUUUCUUGAAGCCCAGUGUGUUGUACCAGAUUAAAUAAUAAGUCGUUAAUUAUUAUAGAAUAAUGUGUGACAAUUCAUCAAUAACUAUCAUACACAACAACUAGGUAACUCUAAAAAUCAACAACCACACCCUACUACAAGCAAAUUCAGCAACAAUAUAGACAGUGUAUACUGGACCCUAACAAACCACUUCUAACAAUAUACACCACAAGCAACUUCAACAACAACGUCUCCAACGAACGGUUCCCGUAUACAACCUUGCUCCUUUGACUCAGCCAUCAUAUGAUACUUUCGAACAUGGGUGGGAAGUCAACUGUCUUGGUGGUAUUAAAUUCGAUUGGACCACCUCCCUGAUCCUGUUUAUAAUUAACAAACCACAUCAAAUUGAUAACCACAUUUAUGUAUCAACAAACAUAUACGCCAUAAAAUUAAAUAGCAUCAACUAUUAUCACUUGUUGAGGACCGAAAGGAACACAAAAUGAAAUUGACACACCAUACAAUCAAAGUGCGAAAAAUAAUACAGAAUGGUCCUAGCAUGAAUUUUGAAGUUAAAAUAAACCACAAUAACAAACCUACUUACCUGUGCAGGUGAAGCUUGCUUUUGCUGAGUUGACGCCUCCAGGUUACCUGGCACUGUUGGAGGUCCCGAUUUGGGCAUCGAGUUCGCCUAUAGCCUACACAGCCACACGUGCUGCAUCGCCGCCGCUUUACCCCCCGCAUGCCCACUGGGUCGUUGCUACGUCCUGUCCCUUUCAUCCUAACACCAAUUGGAUCCUUCACCAACUCCCCCUGCUUAGCAAUGUUACUUGUCUCCGCACCAUGGGACUCAAGCAUGCUCCUUUCUUCUAACAUAUGCGUGUCCCGAACAACCUUUUCGACAUAAUGCUUAAAGUCCUCCUCUCUAACACAUGCAACUUUGGCAAAACAUUUGCAGUGCUGGAGGAAUGAACCAACCCGACUUCGGUACAGCGCAACAUCAUCACCAGCUCGGCAACUCAGGCUUUCUUGAGCAGCAUCAUCCUUUGCCCAUUUCGACCAUCACUUCAGGACAAUGCUCUUCGACAACAACUCCAUAUAUAACCUUACCAGUACUGCUAGAAUGUGUACACAGGGUAGUCCGAACGACUCUAUCUUGAGACAACUACAUCUGAAUGAAUUAUCUGCGGCUAGAUGGUGUACAUUCCACCGCAUCUGUGGUUUGCGAUACUUCUGUGUCACAUAUAUGCAACCAUCUUCACGCUCUAUGCAUUCCAAUAUACUCACCCUAACACACCUCUUAAGACUCUCACGAUAUCUUGAAAAAAUUUCCCUCGUAAAACUCAUCGCACCAGACUUCUCAAGCUCUGGGAACUCUGUCUGAAGGACUGGGAUCCCAUACGAUGAUCGAAAAUUGAGCUCCUCCUCAUUGUCUUUUAGGAAAUCAACACAGUACUAAAAAUUUGUUACAAACUCAAGGAUGCCGUAUCUUCUUUUCACAAACCUCCCUAGCUUUGCGUGGAGUGACUCACACCAAGAGGUUGUUCUAAUACCAGCAAAGAACCUGCCAUGUAUGUACGCCGUGGCCCACGAGGACUUCUUCUCGUAAAUAUCCUUUACCCACGCCACUUCCCUGACAUCGCACUCCUCCAUCAUCGCUUCCCAAAGUUUCUCAAACUCCUCUACCUCCAAGUCAGCCAUCAUACAGUGCCUAAACAAGGUCGUGAAGUGCGGUUUACAGACGUUCGAUGUCAUAUUCUUCAAUAGAUGCCAAGAACAUAGGCGAUGAUGGGAACAUGGGAAUACCUCCUGAAUAGCUAACCUCAUCGAUCGGUCACCGUCUGUUAUCACCCCAGUGGGAGCUUUGCCCUUCAUACGUUGCAAGAAGGUUCGCAAUACCCAAACAUAUGAUGUCUGGGACUCGCACGAGACCAUUGCAGUUGCAAACACGCAAGUUUGGUUGUGGUGGUUAACUCCAGAAAAGACAAUCACUGGGAGAUUGUACUUGUUCCUCCCAUAGGUGGCAUCAAAGGCCAAAAUGUCCCCAAAAAUGUUAUAGUCAUCAUGGCUACAACCAUCACUCCAAAAGAUAUCACACAUGUUUUGCCCUGGAUCGACCUCAUACCUCCAGAAGAGUUUUUCAUCUACAAGGGCAGCCCCCUCCAACACCCUUAACGCUGCAUUAACAUCACCAUUUUGCAAUAGCCUCUGCCGCCUAACCUCGUUGUACAGGUCUCUCUUAGUAAAAGGAACGAGAUUGAACCUACCAGCCUGUGCAGCAAAUGACUCGUAUAUCUUCGGAAUCGAGAUCCCAACUUGCCUCAAGCUAUCCAUGUGAGCUAUAUCAACAUCAGAAACCUUUCAAUGUGAAGAUAGGUACUCUACAAAUUUUUCAGGUAGUAGCUCGUGGUUAUGAUCAUCCACAAAGCGUGACACAAACCACUUCCCUGUCNNNNNNNNNNNNNNNNNNNNNNNNNNNNNNNNNNNNNNNNNNNNNNNNNNNNNNNNNNNNNNNNNNNNNNNNNNNNNNNNNNNNNNNNNNNNNNNNNNNNNNNNNNNNNNNNNNNNNNNNNNNNNNNNNNNNNNNNNNNNNNNNNNNNNNNNNNNNNNNNNNNNNNNNNNNNNNNNNNNNNNNNNNNNNNNNNNNNNNNNNNNNNNNNNNNNNNNNNNNNNNNNNNNNNNNNNNNNNNNNNNNNNNNNNNNNNNNNNNNNNNNNNNNNNNNNNNNNNNNNNNNNNNNNNNNNNNNNNNNNNNNNNNNNNNNNNNNNNNNNNNNNNNNNNNNNNNNNNNNNNNNNNNNNNNNNNNNNNNNNNNNNNNNNNNNNNNNNNNNNNNNNNNNNNNNNNNNNNNNNNNNNNNNNNNNNNNNNNNNNNNNNNNNNNNNNNNNNNNNNNNNNNNNNNNNNNNNNNNNNNNNNNNNNNNNNNNNNNNNNNNNNNNNNNNNNNNNNNNNNNNNNNNNNNNNNNNNNNNNNNNNNNNNNNNNNNNNNNNNNNNNNNNNNNNNNNNNNNNNNNNNNNNNNNNNNNNNNNNNNNNNNNNNNNNNNNNNNNNNNNNNNNNNNNNNNNNNNNNNNNNNNNNNNNNNNNNNNNNNNNNNNNNNNNNNNNNNNNNNNNNNNNNNNNNNNNNNNNNNNNNNNNNNNNNNNNNNNNNNNNNNNNNNNNNNNNNNNNNNNNNNNNNNNNNNNNNNNNNNNNNNNNNNNNNNNNNNNNNNNNNNNNNNNNNNNNNNNNNNNNNNNNNNNNNNNNNNNNNNNNNNNNNNNNNNNNNNNNNNNNNNNNNNNNNNNNNNNNNNNNNNNNNNNNNNNNNNNNNNNNNNNNNNNNNNNNNNNNNNNNNNNNNNNNNNNNNNNNNNNNNNNNNNNNNNNNNNNNNNNNNNNNNNNNNNNNNNNNNNNNNNNNNNNNNNNNNNNNNNNNNNNNNNNNNNNNNNNNNNNNNNNNNNNNNNNNNNNNNNNNNNNNNNNNNNNNNNNNNNNNNNNNNNNNNNNNNNNNNNNNNNNNNNNNNNNNNNNNNNNNNNNNNNNNNNNNNNNNNNNNNNNNNNNNNNNNNNNNNNNNNNNNNNNNNNNNNNNNNNNNNNNNNNNNNNNNNNNNNNNNNNNNNNNNNNNNNNNNNNNNNNNNNNNNNNNNNNNNNNNNNNNNCCUCUUCCUAUCCUACUUCUCUAGCCAUUUUUUGUCUCUGUAACCUUGCCGGUUGCACAAAUACGUGUACCUAACAAACUCCCCUUUCUUGUUCUUCAAUUUCUUCUCAUGUCGUAUCGCAAAACCUUUUGCUCGACUGUACUCUUCGUAAAAAACUGUGGCCUCUCUUGGACAACCAAACUCCAACUUGAACACAUCCUCUCCACUUAACAGACCUGCCUCUGACGACUUGCUAAAAUUACCCGGUGCUUGGUUAAAAGAAUCUCCAUCGUAGCCAUCUUCCUCCAUCUCAAUAACCAACCCUUCUUCCGGUAAGAAAAAUAAAUUAAGACACAACAGCGGUUAGCAUAAAAUUAGAAAACAAUAACCAUGUACAGAACACUAGCAUGAACAAAAACAAAUAACAGAUCCAUGCAACCAUGAUACACACUCGAACCACUACACUCUAACCUGGAACACAAUCAACUAACAUAUCUUGCUAAAACUCCUACUUUACAACUAACAACUUCCUAAACCUGAAGUUUUCGCCAUGUUAUUAAUGGUUAUUCACACAUAAGCACCUACCACCGCGACAUUCUAUCUAAGUAAUGCCUAUAAGGACCUAACAUUUCAGCCAUCCACUGCCACGCUUUUCACUCCUCUUCCUGACAUGCACGAUCUUUUCUAUAGUUUCCUACUAAAAUAAUACACACUAAUUCUUCUUUCCCUUACUAACCAGUGAAAUAUUUAACUACCUGCACAAUGCUAACGGGAAUCUAUAGUUGCUUUCGCCGCCUUAUUAUAAAUCCAUGUCACAAAUAAAAAUCCUAACUACAGAAUCCACCAAUCAAUCAUACACAGUGUAAUUUUUGGUCCUCUAAUUCGAACGACUGCAACAACACAACAUACAAAUCCAAAAAUUUUAAAAUAAAAUAAACUUUGGUACCUUACUUAGAACAAGCAAGAAUGCCUCACUUUGUUCUGGCAGUGCACGACCAUCUAACCCCAGCAACAUCAAGCCUGAGAACCUCCACUUGGAGACGCAGAGCAACCAUCACUUAAAAUGCCUCAAAGAAAACUUAAGGGAGACAAUUGCACUUUUCUUAUUUUUUUUCAUUAAACUUUUACUCCACUUGUGAAGCCACAACGCAUCUGUUCACUAUUUUUCAUUCUAUCAAUUUAUACUACAAUCCUUUUUAGCUGGUCAAAAUAGACAUUGCACAUUCUAACUUAAGGACAAUUUUGUACUUAACCACUUCAGAACAAGACAAAUCUUAAAUUGAUAACUUGUUCGUACAUAGAACAUUGGAGUUUCGUUAAAGUACAGCAGAAUACCUGAUAAUUUUCCUAAAAGAUACUAUAUUUUGCCAUUCAACUAAAAUUUCAGUUACUCUUACUUAGGUUAUUCUAUUAUCAAAUAAGAAAAUUAAAGGCCCAAUUACAAUUGGGAUUGGAAUAUUAAAGGCCCAACUUGGAAUAUUAAAAGGUGAGCAAGCUUUUGAAUGUAUUGAAAUAAAAUCAAAAUUAAAAUAAUGAAGUCCGAGAAAACAUCUGAGCUACUGAGCUUUAACGCUAGCAUGUCAUAAAUAAGUAAAAUAACACAUUGGGCUGCCCAGUUGCUAAUUAUUAACUUGCCCAAUUUUUUAUCUCUUCUACAAGCUCUUUAAAAUUUAUAGUGCUUAUAAUUUGGUGUUUAAGUUUUGUUUAAUUUAUUUUUUAUAAAAGAAAUUAAAUAUUUAAUAAUUAUUUAUUUUUAUAUUUUUAAAAUUAAAUGUUAAUUUUUAAUUUUUUUGAUAAAAUAAACAAACACUAUUAAACAUCAUAACAAUCAUCUUUAAUUAAUUAUCCAAAGCCUUCUAUAACUCUCUUUCUCGUGGUUGGCUCCACUUUUAUACGACAAUUCUCAUCUUGGGUUACUAAUUAAGCUUGUAUCAUACACCCCUUGUAAUUAGUAGGUAAUGGUUUGAUGAUGAUGACGAUAUACGACACCCAUUAUUAUUUAAGGAACGCGUUUUUUUUGGGUCUGAUUCAUUGACUUAGAUCAAUUUGAUGCAGUUAUAAUUCUCUCAGUUUAUUUUAUAAUAAAAUGUUAUUAAGAUGUAAACUUAGAAUUGGAAACACCAAAAAUAACUUUUUUCAACUUUUGACUUAUAGAAAGUUACAUUAAUGUGUUUGGUACAAUUUUUUAAAUAAACUUUUAACUUUUUAAAAAGUUAUUUAAGAGCUUUUGAAGAAGUUAAAAAAUGUAACUUCUCUUUUUUUUAAAAGCUAUUUUAUCACUCUUAUUUAAUGCACAACUUUAAAACAAGGACUUCUAUAAUAACUAUCCAAACUCAAAAUAACUUAUUUAAAAGUUAUUAUUAAUAAAAGUCCUUAUAUUUUAAACUUCUUUUUCAAAAGAACUUAUUUAAGAAGUUUAGCCAAACUGGCCCUAAGUCCAGUUUGACUAAAUAACUUAAUUAAAUUAUUUUAAAAAAAAUAGUUUAAAUAAUAAAUAUUUAUAUUAAAAGUAGUUUAUAAAUAAGUUAUUUUGUGUUUGGUUUUUUAAUUCUAAAAGUACUUAUUUUAAGAGAAAAGUAAUAAAAAAAAUUAUUAUAAGAGAAGUUAUUUUUUUUAACUUCUUCUUAAGCAUCAAAAUAGCUUUUUAGAAAGUUAUAAUUUUAUUUUAAAAUUAUACCAGACAUUAAUAAUACACAUUUUCAUAAAUUAAAAGUAAAAAAAGUCACUUAUAAACUUAUCCAAACCCUAAUAAGUGUUUAUGAUUAGAGCCUUUAAUUUGUCAAUAUUAGACCUUCCGGCUCACUUUUUAAACUAUGCUCAACUAUAUGUUCAGAUUCAUAAGUGGAUUACAUGUAAAGUUGAUAACUUCGGUCAUCUGUUAUUAAUGUUAUUAUCACAUCAGUGAUUAUUAUUGUAAAUUCAUGUGUGCAAGUUGCACCAUCAAUUAAAACAUGGCUAGUAAUGGCAAAAAAAUCCACCUAUUGAAAGAUAUUAUUUAUCAGCAGAUCCGCUAAUGAAGUCCCCACUUGAACGGGGGAUUGGCCUCUACCAAUAUACUAGGAUAGAGAUGCAUGGGGACAAAGUUUUAUUGUAAUUUGAUAAAAUUUUUAUCACAUGUGAAANNNNNNNNNNNNNNNNNNNNNNNNNNNNNNNNNNNNNNNNNNNNNNNNNNNNNNNNNNNNNNNNNNNNNNNNNNNNNNNNNNNNNNNNNNNNNNNNNNNNNNNNNNNNNNNNNNNNNNNNNNNNNNNNNNNNNNNNNNNNNNNNNNNNNNNNNNNNNNNNNNNNNNNNNNNNNNNNNNNNNNNNNNNNNNNNNNNNNNNNNNNNNNNNNNNNNNNNNNNNNNNNNNNNNNNNNNNNNNNNNNNNNNNNNNNNNNNNNNNNNNNNNNNNNNNNNNNNNNNNNNNNNNNNNNNNNNNNNNNNNNNNNNNNNNNNNNNNNNNNNNNNNNNNNNNNNNNNNNNNNNNNNNNNNNNNNNNNNNNNNNNNNNNNNNNNNNNNNNNNNNNNNNNNNNNNNNNNNNNNNNNNNNNNNNNNNNNNNNNNNNNNNNNNNNNNNNNNNNNNNNNNNNNNNNNNNNNNNNNNNNNNNNNNNNNNNNNNNNNNNNNNNNNNNNNNNNNNNNNNNNNNNNNNNNNNNNNNNNNNNNNNNNNNNNNNNNNNNNNNNNNNNNNNNNNNNNNNNNNNNNNNNNNNNNNNNNNNNNNNNNNNNNNNNNNNNNNNNNNNNNNNNNNNNNNNNNNNNNNNNNNNNNNNNNNNNNNNNNNNNNNNNNNNNNNNNNNNNNNNNNNNNNNNNNNNNNNNNNNNNNNNNNNNNNNNNNNNNNNNNNNNNNNNNNNNNNNNNNNNNNNNNNNNNUAAAGACCGACCGAUCUAGCCAGUAUUUAGCUUUUAACAUUAUCUUGUAUUUAGGCUUUGUUUGGACUUAUCUACACAAAUAUUAAUACUAAUUAAUUAGUAGUCUAAAAUGAUAAAAUCUACGGAUUCUAUAACACAACUAUUAUAUUAUAUUAUGUUUAUACCAUUGGUAUAUAUUGGUAGAGAUACAUCUCCUUGAUUGAUAAAUACUAAAUAUAAACAAAAACAGAAAUAACAUAGGUAAGAUCUGUUUUCAUUUUGUACGGAAUUUUAUUUUAUUAUGAUCUCUAAAAAUAAAAUUUAAUGUAUUAUGUUAUAUUAUUGUAAUUUCUUUAAAUUAGUGGUUAUUGGCCAAUAAAUUAUAAUUUAAAUAACAUAAUCUCUUUAUAUUCAUCUAAAAGGUUACGAAUUCGAAUUUAUUUAUUUUUAAUAUAAAAAAAAAUUCACAAAUUCGUGGAUCCCUUGUAAUACCCUUCAUCCCUCUCUUCCUUUUUAGUCCCUUUGCAUCCUGGAAACGAAAAUAAAAAAAAAACUUCUGUGUGUUGUGACGAAGAUGGAUAAGGAUGAUUGAUGUCCAUUUAUGAGGGCACAUUUUUCCUAUGUUAAAAGAAAUAAAUGAAGUUUGAAAUGUAAAUUUUGUGUGCUUAUAAAUACAUGUAUUGAAGUAAAGAGGGAAUACACAUACAGUAACAAUAAACAUUCUCUUUAUAUUUCUUUAUUUUAUUUGUUACCUCUUCUUUAUUUAUUUAUUUAGUUAUUUUAUAACACGUUACCAGCACGAAACUCUAACGAAAUUUUAGGAAGACUUUAGGUAACAAAUUUUUAUUAUGCGAAUGUCUUUCAUCUUGAAUAUAAUGCUUUUGAUAUAUCUAAAAAUAAUUAUUUAUCAUGGAUACUAGAUGUUAAAAUCCAUCUUGAUUCAAUGGAUCUUGGAGAUAUCAUUAAAGCUAAAAAUAAUACAUCCCAGAAGGAUAAAGCCAAUGCCAUGAUUUUCCUUCAUCGUCAUCUUGACGUAUGAUUGAAAAAUGAAUAUCCCACAUUAAAAGAUCCUGCAGAUCUGUGGAAAGACCUUGAAGAAAGGUACAAUCAUGUGAUACUUCCUCAAACCCGAUAUGUUAGGAAAAACUUUCUCGACCUUCCAUGUCUCGAAUGUGCUCCUGCAGUAGCAAUCGAGAAAAAGGAUUAAUUUUUUUUUUGGAGCUGAUUUCUUGCUUUCCUUGUUGCUGAACGCAACAAUGAGUUGCUCUUAAGAAAUCAUGAAACGCGCCCAGCUGGCGCCUCCCCAUUUCCUGAAGCAAAUGCGGCAAAUUAUAACCCCAGAAGAGGUAAAUGGCAAGAUUUUGAUAACAAGAAAAAUUAUAAAAGGAAAAGAAAUUAUGUUCACAAGAAAAGAUCUCACCAGAAGUGGGAUAAAGAAAGAAACACUGGGCAAAGUAAAUCAAUUGAGGAUAAAUACUUCCGUUGUGGUGGAAAGGGCCAUUGGUCACGUACCUGUCGUACCCCAAGGCACCUAGUUGAUCUUUAUCAAGCAUCCUUGAAAAGGAAUGACAAAGAAAAGGAAACAAAUUUUGUUUCAAAUGAUGAAAAUUCCACCACUCAAUAUGAUGUAUCUAAUUUCUUUAAGGAUUCUGAAGGAAAUAUUGGCUAUUUGAUCAAUGAUGGAAUAGUUUGAUAUAUAUAUGUGUUUGUUAAGUAUUCAUGUGAAUAAUUUUACUGUGCAUGUACUUCUACUCAUUUUAUUAUUAUUAUUUGUCUUUGAAGAAAAAUGGCAAGGACAUAUUCUGAAGAUAUUUGCCUUGCGGAUAGUGCAAGUUCGCAUACUAUUCUUAAAAGUACUAUAUAUUUUACCCAUCUUAUGCCAAAAGAAGAAAAUGUUAAUACUAUUAUUGGCUCGGACAAUGUGAUAGAAGGCUCCGGAAGAGCUAUAAUUUUGUUUUCUGAAAGAACAAAAUUCAUAAUAAAUAAUGCACUAAUAUCUACCAAGUCUCUGAGGAACUUGUUGAGUUUCAAAAAUAUUCGCCAAAAUGGAUAUCAUAUUGAGACUAUGAAUGAGGGAAAUCAUGAGUAUUUAUGUAUCACAACUCAUGAUUCAAAUAAGUUAUAUUAGAAAAGUUGCCUUUACUUUCAUCUGGGUUAUAUUAUACCAAGAUUAGUGCAAUUGAAUCACAUGCAAUUGUAAACCAGAAGUUUACUAGCCCAAAUGAAUUCAUAACUUGACAAGAUCGAUUGGGUCAUCCGAGAACAACCAUGAUGAGGAGAAUUAUUGAAAACUCUCAUGGACAUUCACUAAAGAACCAGAAGAUUAUUAAAUCUAGUGAAUUUUGUUGUGCUGCAUGUUCUCAAGGGAAGUUAAUUUUAAGGCCAUCACUAGUAAAGAUUGGAUUUGAGUCCCCUGAAUUUCUAGAAAGGAUUCAAGGUGAUAUAUGUGGACCUAUUCAUCCACCAUGUGGAUCUUUUAGAUAUUUUAUGGUCCUGAUAGACGCAUUUUCGAGAUGGUCACAUGUGUGCUUAUUAUCUUCUCGCAACAUGGCGUUUGCGAGAUUACUAGCUCAAAUUAUUCGACUAAAAGCACAAUUUCCAGAAAAUCCAAUCAAAGCAAUUUGUCUUGAUAAUGCUGGUGAAUUUACUUCCCAAGUUUUUUAUACUUAUUGUAUGGCUAAUGGAAUAAGUGUUGAACAUCCAGUAGCUUAUGUUCACACACAAAAUGGGUUAGCAGAAUCACUUAUUAAACGCCUCCAAUUAAUUGCUAGACCCUUGCUUAUGAGAACAAAUCUCCCAACCUCGGUUUGGGGCAUGCUAUUUUACAUGCCGCAGCACUUAUUCGUUUGAGGCCAACAAGUUACCAUCAGUUCUCUCCUAUGCAAUUAGCCUUUAGCCAGCAGCCAAAUGUUUCCCAUUUAAGAAUAUUUGGAUGUGCAAUAUAUGUUCCCAUUGCACCACCUAAUCGCACCAAAAUGGGACCCCAAAGAAAAUUGGGGAUAUAUGUUGGAUAUGAUUCUCCCUCUAUAGUGAGGUAUCUUGAGAUACAAACUGGGGAUGUAUUUAAAACCCGAUUUGCGGAUUGUCAUUUUAAUGAAUCAAAAUUUUCAAUAUUAGGGGGAGAGAAUAAGUUUCCUGAAAAGGAACUUAAUUGGAAUGCAUCAUCGUUGAUGCAUUUAGAUCCUCGAUCAGAGCAAUGUGAACUAGAAGUUCAAAAGAUUAUACAUUUGCAAAGAAUAGCAAAUUAAUUGCCUGAUGCAUUUUUCGAUACAAAGAGGAUAACCAAGUCGUAUAUACCAGCGGAAAAUGCCCCAAUUCGAAUUGAUGUCCCAGUUGGACAAAUUGCCACCGAAACAAAUACACGCCAGAAGCAUGGCAAACCUGUCGGUUCCAAAGACAAAAAUCUUCGAAAGAGAAAAGAGG